rnacentral:lncRNA from 1 species
AACAGAGCACAAUUGUAUCAUGUGCACCAGCAGCCAAAAUUAGUUAGCUAAUAAACUGUCUGAAGGGAACCAACCAUUUCAGAGUAGUUUAUUCCACAUCUCAUUCUCCUCGAAAAUGAGCCCAAGUGGCCAUCAACGAAAAUACAAUUGUUUUGAUACAUCAAUGGUAAGAGAAAUGAAUAACCACCAAAGAAACAAAACGUUCAAAUUAGUUUUUUCUAACCAUGGAGGAGAGUUGCAUGUGAACUUUAUAAAAGAAGGCCAACAUCAAGGAACAUCAUGUUGACAUACUCAUCCUGCUCUCCGUUCUUGUCAUCAGUCCCGGCAAUCAGCUCCUGACUUACACCUUAAGCAACAACCACGACAAUGCCCCUUCUUCUUUAUCCUUGCAUAUAUAGGAACUCAAUCAGGUCAAGAAAAAAAGAUAUGAAUCAACUCUCAAGAUCAAGUGAGAUGGGUGCCUUCCCUGUCUACUACCGCCAGGCUCAACACCAACUCCACAUAUCAAGCACAUGUUGCCUUUCCACAACAUGACAACACUCUUCAAAGCAACAAACAAAAAGAUUGGGCCUACACCGAUGCCUCAUUACCUGAGAAGAAUAAAAGAGGGAGCUCACCUUGAUGAGUUGGAAUCAGACGCACUCGUUGUAGCUCGACCAAUUGUAAUAAAAACUAAAGAUAUGAGCACAGAAAUUUCUAUCGCAAUUGCAAACUAUUAAAGAUGCCUUCAAGGGCGAAAAGAAAAAAUGCAUACAAACAUGAAUUGCCCAAAACAAUUCUAAAAUGCCAGACCACCAUCAUACAGGGCAUAUUUUCAGUAUAUCUUAACAUUUCAUAGAUAUGAUAAUUUAUCGUAUUUAUGGAGAAAAAACCCAACCAGCAGUUCAUCCAGAAAAAAUGUGCUUGCCAUAAGAGUGCUCCAUAAAGAAGUAAAAUAUUAUCUUAUCAGACAAACAAUUGAAUAUCUCUGGACCAAAUAUAUGCUGGUGUAAAACAAAAACACAUCAGGAGAAGCAAUUACGAUACAAUGACCAUAUAAAGACACAUUUUGAAGUAUUUAACAUCUGGUUGGGUAAGUAGCAUAACUCAAUGUUUUUGGAUAAGUAAGGGACAGUCAGCCAACAGGCUACAGUAUCGAUAAAUGCAUAGAAGGACAUAAAAUAUCUUACACUUUGAGCCGCAUCCCCAAAUCUUGUAGAUAAGUGCAAUACGAUUUCCGAAGGUAACUCUCUUUCUUUAAAUCAAUGCCAUCCCUCUUAGACGGAGAAUUCUCUUCUAUUUCCUUUCUACUGAAAUACCAUGAAGCACUAAGUUUGCCGGCUUCCUUAUUCUCGCUCUUUGUAAUUCCGUAGGGGCUAUUUUCUACAAUUUCUAUAAGUUCUACUAACUCGUCACCAACUUCCUGAAGAUUAUUCCAAAACCCCAAAGCGAAGAGUUUUUUUACUGGAAAUAUGAGAUAACUGAAUGAAAUACAAAUAUAGACUAUCCUAGGUGGCAAAGUGUUUGGCAUGUCAUCAUGUAAUGCUAGAUGGCGCAACCCAUUUAUUUUAACUGGGUUAUUUGCAUAUCAAGGCGUUUUAUGUACAGCUAUAGGUUUUAUAUAUCAUUAAGUAGCACCGGGCACAACAUACCUUAAACGCAGCAACAGCCGAUCAACAGCAGGAACAAACCACACAGAUACAUGUUAUUUCCUUGAUCACAGUAGCUAACCUUCACAUCACCUGCAAGAAAACCAUUAAAAUAUGGGUCCAGAAAUCAAACGGGUGGACGGCCUAAAGAAAGAAAAAUACGCAUGUAACUUUGCACAAGAUAUUGAAUGAAAGAUAUGAUAACAUCAACCUACAAAUACGGCUAUGUAUGGAUUAACAACACUAACCACUAUAUGUUUGAGUGAAAAAACAAAACUGCAGUAAUAAGAUAAAAAAAUGUUCUCAAGGUCACAUCAACGCAUAUUUUAACCAACAAAGAUCAACAAGAACCCGUAUAGGAGAGCUACCUAGGCAUGUCUCUGAAGCUGGUUGUAUCUAUAGCAUACCUUUGGCAAGAAAUUACUUGAGGACACAUGUCGCUGCUAACUCUGUCUUCCAGACCAUUUUCACAUCCUUGGAGCCCCAUUCUCAUACCAUUACCCAUCUCGACGGUAAUUGGUGUAUGACACGACCACAAAAACCUAAAUCAACAUCACCUAGAAGAAUCAUUUUUAGAACAAGUAGGAAAAGAAGCACAAAGUGAUCAUCACCACCUUGGCCCUUGGGGAACCAAUUUUAACAUUAUUACCUUUCAUUGACAUGUUUGAAACAACAACUAACCUGCAUGCGCCUAGUAAAUCUCAAAAUAGAGGAAGGAUACAACACAUGAUAGAAGUGAACCCAAAUGGUCAAAUACUUCAGAUUCUGACACACAAGGGAGAAUUCCCAGCCUGCAUCUUACUCAAUUGCAAGCUAAAAUCAAUAGGGAAAGUAACAGAAUAUGGGACAAGUGUGACCUGAAAAACAAAAUCCCAUAUAUGUUCCUCUAAAUCCUGUAUCAUAGAACCAUAUACUGUCCUAAAUCAAGUAACGGAAUUAUAAUCUACCCAACAAAUUUAUAGGGAAAGUAUAACCACUAUAAGCAUUCAAACUAAUCAUUACAUGGUAAAUAAAGACUACACAGAACUAAAAGAAAGACAAAAAUAUAAGUAAAAAUAUAUUCUGAUCUCUGUUAGCUUUUGUUACCUCUAUCGAGCACCUAAUACAGAAUCUGCAUGAUAAAUAGGACACACCCUAGCAUACUGAAUAUAACAAUCGUUUGUCGAUACAUGUCACUAUAAAGACAAAUAAGCUGCAACACUUGUAACUUCUUCUGUGCCUCUCAAACUCAAACCCUUUGUAGGAAACAUACAUCUUCCCUAGAACUUGUGGUUACUGGAAUCGAAAUGCCUGAAGGAAUCGCUGUUGCUACCAAGCACCAGUCCCACGCCUGGUCUCUGCACGAGACAAAACCCAUGAGCAACCGUUCAAACUAUAACAUCAUGAAAGGAAAGUGGUGCAUCAGGUAACACCAACAUUUCCUUCUUUUCACAUAUGGUAGGGACCUUAGUAUGUUUACAGCAACCAAGCCAGAAGCUUGCACUGGCUAGCUCUAUGUAUCCCUGUGUUAUUGAGAUCAACACGGUUGUUUUAAAUAGCACAACAAAAGUCAUUCUAGCAUGAAAUUGAAAAUAAUAAAUGUCCUAUAAAUGAGAACGCUACGCUUAUUAUUUCACAUACAGGUGCUAAAAAAGUUGUUCUAAGACACAUGAGCAAACCAAAUGUUUAUAAGUUGAUAAGUAGCAGCUACAGUGGCCAGGAACAUUUAAAUAUAGUACCAUAUGAAGGGACGACACAUGAAUACAUCAGCUGCGGCUGUGUUCUUCAUAAGCAAUGCACACAUCAAUAAUGUACGAACCUAGGUCUAAAAAAAUCACAGCGAAGAACCAAUUUUAUUUCAAAAAACGCAUUACAAAUAACCAUCACAAACAAUUAACUUCAGAGCAUCUUCUAAAAAAGCAUAGAAAUAUCCAUCUCCAUCGCUCAUCUAUUUAGAUUGACCAUGCUGAAUACAAACCUUUUUCCAGUAGUUGGUAACGAUGCAUUUACCUAUAUAUUGGCCAAAAGACCAAUAAUAUAUAUCCAUGACGACAUAAAUCCGGUGCUGGAGAAAUUAUUUAUUUCAUAGCAUAAAAAUUCAAUCGGAACCAUUUAAAUAGUAGGGCUAUAUACUAAUAUGAAAAUGGAUCCCACCUAUGGAUGUCAUCUGAUGCCAAGAAUGAGAGGAAACUAACUAAGCCUGAAUGCCACCCAUAUUGAAAAUAUCCAUACUAUGAUUGGGAGGCCAAUUGAACAUUAUACAUCACAUAAUGUACUAUGUAUGUACAUUAAAUUCUUUGCCAACUGUAUACAUUUUGUUUAGACAGUACCCUCAAGUCUCGACCAAUACAAUAAUACAUUACCUCUGCUCAUUUUUCAUAAAAUGCCAUGCCCAUUGGCUUGUUCUUGUCGCUUGAAAAUGCCAUGCCCAUUGGCUUGUUCUUGUCGCUUGCUUAUAAUCAUCCUUUCUAUGGUGCUCACUUUCGUUUUGCUCCUGCUUCUUUUUUGCUUUUACGAAAAAGAGGGGAGAAGUCAAAGAAGGAAAGGUGUCUACACGCGCCGAUGAAUCAGGGCCGAAGGGAGGAGGCGGCAUGGGGAGAGAAAGAACGAGUGAAUCUCACCUUGGUGUGUUGCCGUCGGAUGUGCUCGCCGUCGCUCGACCUGUGCGCAGAAUCAGAACAAAGGUGAAUCUAUUAUGAACUCAAGGACACCAAAGUGUGACAAAAUAAAGGGGAAGCACCAAUCCUCCACAAGAAAUGGUGCCGAUAGGUAGAACAUAUUCCUUUUCAUGUACUGUGGUGGAAGAGUUGCAGAAGAAAUCAGGCUCACCUAUCUUGGAAGGGUCUGACUGCUCCAGGACAUCAAGCCACAAUAACUCCAACCACUCAUAACCAAAACAAUAUGCCCUGUCAUCAGAUUCAGACUUCUAGUCACCGGAAACUGUAUGGGCCAAAAUUAAUCUUCAGAGAACAUAGGAAAUACUAAAUAAGCAAAAGGAUAAUCCCUGGAAAUGCAAUACAUGUUGCAAAACAGCAAGAUCAUCUGUAAAAAUAUGAAAAAAUACACAUCUUACCCUUCUGCUUGCACUCCUCGACGGCCUGCUCCUUCUCCCUGUCAUUGGCCGCCUCCCCUCUCCUGCAGCCACACCCCAGAUCCAGAACAUUAAAAUGAUUAGCAGACGAAGUACCAUGAUAGCACCCACAUAAACGAUAAUACACGUGUACCUAGGAAAUAGAGCAGCUAACCUUAACGAGAAGAAAAGAGAUGCAACAGAUCGUAGAACCUGCAAAACAAAUGGGAACGAUCUGGUCAGAGCACAACCAUGGUAUAGUACAUAGAAGCAAAAGAACACUGCACAAAAAAGAAGUUAGAUUCUGGCACAAGAGAGGGAUUUCAUCGCCUCCAGCUUGGGCUUGCCUGCAGGCUAUCUUACAUUGUGUCGGACUCAAAGGCAAGGUGAGGAGGCAGGGGAGGGGGAGCAAAAGGGAUGGGAGGAGGACCUGCGAGGGCGACGACGUCGUCCUUGCCUGCCUUGUAGGAUAGGACGCUUCUGGAAACGCAUGAUUGCACUCACCGGCGCUUCCUGUCGCCCAGCCGACGAGUCUUCCCCAACCUCUGACCCCGCCCACAUCCGCCGCUCCUUCAACCCAUGCUGCUUCCGCCCGCAGCCGCCAUGCCCUUCAUGGCCUGCGGCCCUGCCCUCUCUUCCUCGGCCAGCUCUCAUGGCUUCCAUGGCGUCGUCGAUCUGGGAUGUCUGAUGCAUCAUGGUCGUCAUCGCGCCGUCCUCCUCGAUCUAUGGCGGCAACGAAGUGGAGACGAGCGGCACAAGAGGGGUCGCGUGGGGCGAGGAGGAGGAAGAUAGGGAGAAGAGGAGGCGGCCGCCACAGGAGGAAGAGUGAGAAGAGAAGGGAUGGUGGAGGAGGAGGAGGAGGAGGAGGCGGAGCCUGGGCACGCUCGGGGUGGAGCACGGGAGGAUGGAGGCAGCCGUGGGAUUGGGGAAAGGGGUCUAGGGUUCCACGACCCACUGGAAGCACGCCGCGCGCGAGGAGAGGAUUGGCCAAAAUCCUUUCGCACCUGCGCGACGUUUCACCCAGUCGAUAGAUGCCAGAAAUGAGCCCACCAGUCAAAACUUACCAACAGGUGAAUAUUAGAUUUAUCAAAGGUAAAGAUCUGACGCCCAGGCUCAGAAUGAGGACGAUCCGACGGUCGCGAAUGCAUGACAUGAGGGAUCACCGUGGAAGCGAGUUGGCUAGUUUCUGUUUUGUUUUAAAUUUGCUUUACAUACUAAACGCCUUACCUGCGGCAAUCUUCCUGGCCUGUUGGAUCUCCUGAAGGGCACCCUGGGCUUCAACCUAGACCGCUUCCGUGCUUGGAGGAGCCUUGGAGAGUUCGGUCUCUCGAGCCAAAACUUCGCCCUCAAGGGUCUCAUACUUCUUCACCGCAUCCUAGAGCUCUUGCUGGACCUCGUUCAGCCGGGCCUUCAGCUUCUUGCGAGCGGCCUGCUCCUUGACAACUUUCCCCUCGUCUUCGGCCAGGGCCUCUUUCAGGGCCGCGACCUCGGUCAUCACCCCUACACAUAUAAUGACACUAUGGUCAGUAUACAUCAUUUACUCUUUCCAAAUAUAUAGUGAGCUAUUGCAUACCUUGCUGGUCUUCCAGCUGCUUCCUCGCCUGGACAAGCUCUUCUUCGGCCCACUCCAGUUUCUGCUUUAGUCCGGAGACUUUGGCAUUAUGAGAAGUUGCGGCCAGCGGCGACGCCUGCUUAUUCACAUCAAACAUACUUGGUUAGUUUCCUGCGAAAUUUAAUUGAUCCUCUGUUCAGUUUUUCUUUCCGAACACAGGACAGUGUCUGAGGGGCUAUUGUCUAUGUGGAGAUUUUCUCGGCUAAAUGCCGCUUACCUCAAAACAGUCAGCAUGCCACUUCAGGCUUCGGUCAAUCCACUCUUGACGUACUGAACCUUCUCAAUCAUCAUACCCAUUUUAAUAGCACGUUGGCACGCAAGGUAAACCAUUAUAACUCAUAGCUAAUCAAGAAUGGCACAAGAAACUAUGAUCUCUAGUUGUCAUUGCAAACAUGUUUAUUCAUAAUAGGCUGAAUCGGGAACAAUGAACUAAUCAUAUUUACAAAAACAAAAGAGGUCGAGUUCAUACCAUACUUUCUCAUCUCAGUCAGUCCAUCAUAUAUCGUCAUAAUUGCCUUUCACUUGCAUGAAUGGACGAUGUGAAUAAUAAUAAUAGUGCACGUGCAUUGGACUAAGCUGGAAUCUGCAGGCAUUCAAUAAGAAUACAAGUCAAUAUGGGCUCUUUUGUCAGAUAAAUAAUAAUGCAUAUAAGAGCUACUUCAAUAAUUUAAUUAAGGUCUUCUCCUAUCGACCCCUAAAGAAAAGAAAAGAAAUAAAACUAUUUACGCGGGAAAGCUCCCAACAAGCAAAAGAAGAACAUGAAAUCUUUUUGGGUUUUAUUUUUAAUUACUACUACAAGAAUGGAAAUUAAACUAACUAAAAGCUAUAACUAUUUUUUUGGUUUUUCUUAAGGUUUAUUAAACACACAAGAAAAAAGCAUAAAAAGGGAAAUAAACUAGCAUGGAUGAUACAAUGAAAAAGUAUGAGCACCGACCUCUAGCAAUGAGUGUGUGAACAUAAAUGUAAUGUCGGUGAAAAAUACGUACUCCCCCAAGCUUAGGCUUUUGGCCUAAGUUGGUCUAUGGCCACGGCUGGCCUGACGAAUAUCCAUAAUAAUAGUUGGGGUCGUACUGAGAAGAAGAGGAGGAAGACUCCGCUUGCCACUGGCUGACAACCAUCUCCGGAUCCCACUGAUAAUUAGACUGCCGUGGAGGAUCAACUUGUGGUUCCGGCUCUGGCUCCACGGCUGGUGCAGGGUUUCGGUAGACGUGAAUAGCCUUCAAUGGAACAAGGUACGUGCCUACAGAUAAAUCAAACAAAGAAGGAGUAGGUAGGGUAAUAGUCUCAGGAUGAUGUUUAUUAAAGAACAAUAGAUAUUUAAGCUCUCCUUCCCUAUGUAACACCCCGGAUGUAACUUUCCCUAUUUAUACUCCAACUCUUGCCGUUUCCGGCGUUAAGUUAUUUUAUUUCCUCGGGUUCGGGUUUUGUCUCCAUGUGUUGUUGUCUUUGUCAUGCAUCUCAUAUCAUGUCAUCAUGUGCAUUGCAUUUGCAUACGUGUUCGUCUCAUGCAUUCGAGCAUUUUCCCCGUUGUCCGUUUUGCAUUCCGGCGCUUCGUUCUCCUCCGAUGGUCAUUUUUAGCUUUCUUUCGUGUGUGGGGAUUAAACAUUUCCGGAUUGGACCGAGACUUGCCAAGCGGCCUUGGUUUACUACCGAUAGACCGCCUGUCAAGUUUCGUGUCAUUUGGACUUCGUUUGGUACUCCAACGGUUAACCGAGGGACCGAAAAGGCCUCGUGUGUGUUGCAGCCCAACACCCCUCCAAUUUGGCCCCAAACCCACCAAACUCUGCUCCAUGUCCUAGAGCGUUCGAUCACGAUCGCGUGGCCGAAAACCGCACCUCAUUUGGACUCUCCUAGCUUCCCCUAUGCCUAUAUAUACACCCCCCCCAUUCCAAUUCGCGGAUCCUCUCCCCCUAACCCUAAAAAAAUCACAGAUCCGCCGCUCCGGACGUGUCCGGGCGGAGCCGGACAACAUCCGCCGCCCCCGCGCCCAGCCAGGACGCGCCACGUGNNNNNNNNNNNNNNNNNNNNNNNNNNNNNNNNNNNNNNNNNNNNNNNNNNNNNNNNNNNNNNNNNNNNNNNNNNNNNNNNNNNNNNNNNNNNNNNNNNNNNNNNNNNNNNNNNNNNNNNNNNNNNNNNNNNNNNNNNNNNNNNNNNNNNNNNNNNNNNNNNNNNNNNNNNNNNNNNNNNNNNNNNNNNNNNNNNNNNNNNNNNNNNNNNNNNNNNNNNNNNNNNNNNNNNNNNNNNNNNNNNNNNNNNNNNNNNNNNNNNNNNNNNNNNNNNNNNNNNNNNNNNNNNNNNNNNNNNNNNNNNNNNNNNNNNNNNNNNNNNNNNNNNNNNNNNNNNNNNNNNNNNNNNNNNNNNNNNNNNNNNNNNNNNNNNNNNNNNNNNNNNNNNNNNNNNNNNNNNNNNNNNNNNNNNNNNNNNNNNNNNNNNNNNNNNNNNNNNNNNNNNNNNNNNNNNNNNNNNNNNNNNNNNNNNNNNNNNNNNNNNNNNNNNNNNNNNNNNNNNNNNNNNNNNNNNNNNNNNNNNNNNNNNNNNNNNNNNNNNNNNNNNNNNNNNNNNNNNNNNNNNNNNNNNNNNNNNNNNNNNNNNNNNNNNNNNNNNNNNNNNNNNNNNNNNNNNNNNNNNNNNNNNNNNNNNNNNNNNNNNNNNNNNNNNNNNNNNNNNNNNNNNNNNNNNNNNNNNNNNNNNNNNNNNNNNNNNNNNNNNNNNNNNNNNNNNNNNNNNNNNNNNNNNNNNNNNNNNCUCAGGUUGCGUGUCCGGAACCCUAGAUCUGAUCCGGGGUAGUUUUUUUUACUAAGUCCCAGAAUUCUUGUUCCAUAUGCUCAUGUUCGAGAUCCCGUAACUUUGCAUCCGUAGCUCCAAUUUGGGCAUAUAGUAUAUCAAAAUGUUCGACUCGACGAGUACAUCAUUUCAUUACAUUGCAUCAUUUUCAUUUGAGUUCAUAUUGAUGCCCGAAAUGCUAUUAGAAGAGGGCUUCGUGAGUUAAUUGUCAGAUCUGCUAGUUCAUCUUAGACUUUUGUCAUUUUUGCCAUGAUUGUUGUGUGCAUGAUAUGCCCGUGAGUCAUUCAUAUGUUUUGUUAAGGAUUUUGUCUUCUUUCCAGAGGUGCAACCCAUGCAUUUUUGUGAUGUGUGUGGUGACUUGUGCAAGCUUGCAAAGUGAGGCACCCGGUAAAUCUGUUUUCAGGGACUUAGUAGUUUUCACUAAGUCUGGGAUUAUUUAGUUCAUGAUGCCAUAUGUUCAGCUUGUUUCCUAGUGAUCCGUGAGGAUGAUCAGUUAAGGAGUUUUGUUAAUCAUGUUAUGCUCUAUCCAUCCAUGUCUUUUUUGCAAUUAUGGAGCACCCUAGCUUGAGUCAAUCGAGCUCUACUUUUGCUUCGUUGUGAAUCUGGGCAGAUCGUCAACUUGUUUGCGAUUUUGCCGAUGCUAUUGUAGUUGAUCCGUGCAUGCUAUGCCAUCGUUCUUGCCAUGUCUAGCUAGAAUUUUGUGCUUUCUUAAUGGAUGUAUGCUUGCCUUGCCAUGACUUGCACCGUAGUGAGUGCAUCGAGCUUGUAAACAUGCCUUCGUGAGUUAUAUUUCAGCAUGUCUCAGUUUUCACUAAGUCUGAAAACUGAUUGUGUUUUAGCUAUGUUCGUGUGCCCGUUAGUAUAUUUUGUGAACCCUUUUGGCCCCAGGUCACUAAGGGACUUUUGUUAAGCUUGUUGAGUAGCUCCAUGCCAUGUCUUUCUUUGUCAUGUUCAGGUCCUGUAGCAUGUUGUUUUGAUGCUCCGAAGAGGGCUUCACGAUCUGAAAUUUCAGAAAAGUGUUAAUUUCACUAAGUCUGGAAUCUGUUUUGCAUUUGCAUUUUUGCCAUGCUUGUUUGAACCUCAUAAUGGAUGAAUUGGCCGUGGCUCAGUGCUAGUCUUUUGUUAAGCAUCUUGUGGGCAUCCCUGCCAUGUAUUUUGUUGUCAUGUUUGGUGGUUGUAGCAUGUUCAUUUUGUUGCAUUUAGAUGCCUACUUGCUGUAAAUCGCAGACCGGUGUCAUUUUUGAAACGCUUGCCAUUUCCAAACCGUAACUCCGAUUCCGGCGUUCUUUAUAUCGUUUUCAAGAGAUUUCAUCUCAUCUUUCUAGUCGCACCCUUGGAAUUCCAAGUUGAGGCCAGGUUCAUGCAUUUCCUGUCAUAUCUUGCAUUUUGCAUCCCGCGUCGCAUCCCGCAUAGCAUAUCAUCAUUGCAUCAUAUCGCUUGAUCCUUGCACGUGGUUGAUUGUAUCCUUGUUGCUUGUUUGUCUUGUUUGGGUAGAGCCACGAGUUCGCUACCGAGGAGCCCGUUGAGUUUGCUUGUGAGGAUCCAGUCAACUCUGACAACUGUGCAGGCAAGAUGAUCAUACCCUCGAAAUCACUACUAUCUUUGCUAUGCUAGUUUGCUCGCUCUUUGCUAUGCCAAUGCUACAAUGACUACCAUUUGCUUGUCAGCCUCCCAAAUUGCCAUGUAAAACCUCUAACCCACCAUGUCCUAGCAAACCGUUGAUUGGCUAUGUUACCGCUUUGCUCAUCCCCUCUUAUAGCGUUGCUAGUUGCAGGUGAAGAUUGGAGGCCGUUCCUUGUUGGAACAUUUAUUUACUUGUUGGGAUAUCACUAAAUUGCUAUGUUGUCUUAAUGCAUCUAUAUACUUGGUGAAGGGUGGAAGUCUCGGCCUCUCGCCUAGUGUUUUGUUCCACUCUUGCCGCCCUAGUUUCCGUCAUAUCGGUGUUAUGUUCCCGGAUUUUGCGUUCCUUACGUGGUUGGGUUAUAAUGGGAACCCCUUGAUAGUUCGCCUUGAUUAAAGCUUUUCCAGCAAUGCUCAACAUUGGUCUUACCAUUUGCCACCUAGCCUUUUCUUUCCCUUGGGUUCUGCAGACUCAAGGGUCAUCUUAUUUUAACCCCCCCGGGCCAGUGCUCCUCUGAGUGUUGGUCCAAACUAGAGCCCCUUGCAGUGCCACCUCGGGGAAACUCGAGGGCUGGUUUUAGUUGUAUGGAUUGCUUAUCUGAGUGUGCCCUAAGAAAGAGAUAUGUGCAGCUCCUAUCGGGAUUUGUCGGCACAUUCGGGCGGUGUUGCUGGUCUUGUUUUAACCUGUCGAAUUGUCUUGUUGUACCGGGUUACCGAGUCUGAUCGGUGUGUCUCGGGUGGAGGUCUAUUCCUUCGUUGACCGUGAGAGCUUGUCAUGGGCUAAGUUGGGACUCCCCUGCAGGGAUUGAACUUUCGAAAGCCGUGCUCGCGGUUAUGGGCAGAUGGGAAUUUGUUAAUGUCCGGUUGUAGAUAACUUGAACUAAACUUAACUAAAAUGUAUCAACCACAUGUGUUACCGUGAUGGCCUCUUCUCGGCGGAGUCCGGGAAGUGGACACGGUGUUGGGUAAUGUUUGCGCAGGUUGUUCUCUAGUUUCUCGCUCGUGCUUUGCCUCCUCUUCUCGCUCUCCUUUGCGAAUAAGUUAGCCACCAUACUUGCUAGUCGCUUGCCGCAGCUCCACUCAUAUUUUACCUUGCCUUACCCAUAAGCUUGAAUAGUCUUGAUCGCGAGGGUGCGAGAUUGCUGAGUCCCUGUGGCUCACAGAUUACUAUUACACCAGAUGCAAGGCCUGAUGAUUCCGCUCCAGGAGACGCGUAUGAGCUCAAGUGGGAGUUCGACGAAGACUCUCAACGAUACUAUGUUUCCUUUCCCGAUGAUCAGUAGUGGUGCCCAGUUGGGGGUGAUUGGGACUGUGUCGCAUGUUGGGUUCUCUUUUAUUUUGGCGCCGUAGUCGGGCCAUGAGUGUAUGGAUGUUGUAAUGUUAAAUUAUGUUCUUGAUUGACGUGGCGAGUGUAAGCCAACUAUGUUCUCCCCUUUAUUAUUCAUAUUACAUGGGAUGUUGUGAAGAUUGCCUAACUUGCGGCAUAUGCCUUCAAUGCAUUAUGUCUCUAAGUCAUGCCUCGACACGUGGGAGCUAUAGUCGCAUCGAGGGUGUUAUAAGUUGGUAAUCAGAGCCUUCCCCGACCUUAGGAGCCCCAUUGCUUGAUCGUUUUUAACGGCCGAGUUGUGUCUAGAAAAAUGUUUUGAGUCUUUUAGGAAUUAUAUAUCGGAGAGCUUAGGAAUUCUUUUUACUUCCCAGUCUCCUCAUCGCUCUGGUAAGGCAUCCUGACGUGGAGUUUUGACUCUUCUCUUCUCAAAUUUCACUAAAAAAAAAUUAGGAUCACGCGGGUAUCUUGGAAUCGGGCCGAUGGUUUUAUGAUGAGAACAUUGUCUUGGUGCCUCCUGUCAGGGGUUUAGUGGAAGUGUCCCGGGGAGUUGAGCUCUGAGGUGUUGUCAUCAUAAUUUUAUCGUUGCAAUUCUGGAAUACCUGAAUCUAGUACGCCGACAUCGAAAAUCUCUUUUAUGCAGUUCGUUGGUGAGAUAACCUCGACGCCACCCAGUACUGGGGCGGGAGUUCGGGAGUAUCGCCAUAACUUGUAUAACGGAUGCUUUUCGAAGGUUGAGGUAGAUGGUUUCGGAAGGUUUCUUGGUUAUGUGUUGAAGGAUGGAUACAGCUGGAUGUAGGAUUUGCUAGUUUGGGUGAGAUAUUAUGCUUCCCCUGUAUCCCCAACACCUGAUUGCAUAACCGGAAAGAUUCGAGAGUUUCAUAGGUGGGAAUUCUAGUAGCUCUAGUUCUUCUUCCACGGAUAUUGGUUUGAGAUUGGGAUUUCUUACCGAUUAUUCGUUCUUGAUCCGUACCUUGUUGAUUUAUUUCUCUACCUUAAUUCUACGUGGCUUCUCAAUUUAUGGAUAUGUGACCAUUUCAAGAGGAAUGCAUUCGUUCAUUUUGUUCGGAUGUGAAGACUAUAUGUUGCAAUUUUCAUUCCGUUGGAUUCAGCUUCAAUAAUUUGUCUGUCAAUGUGCUAAUGGUGGCCAACCUCUUCAGGAUGGCUCCUCCAACGCGCACGACUCCGAAUCCUGAUCCGCCACCACCUCCACCUCCUCCAGAGGCAUGGCAAGCUGUGAUGGCCGCAACCAAUGCAAACACACAGCUGAUCAUGCAAAUUCUUCAAGAGCGCAAUCAAGGCAGUCAAGGGAAUCAAGGCAGCAAUCAGAGUCACUUUGCUACACUCAACCAGUUCCUUGCUAACGGGCCAAAGACUUUCAGCAAUUGUGUUGAGGCAACCGAUGCUGACGAUUGGCUUGUGGAUCUGUGUAAGCAUUUCGAGUGCAGUAACGUCAGGCCUAAGGACUUUGUUAAGUUCGCUUCCUUCCAACUCAAAGAUCAAGCUGCAGAAUGGUUCCAGCAGUACAAGGACUCCAGAGGUGGACGUGUUAUCACUUGGGAUGAUUUCCGUCGAGAUUUUCGAGCUCAUCAUAUUCCGUAGUGCGUGGUUGAAAGCAAGCGUGAAGAAUUCCGCAAUCUGAAGCAAGGCUCUUUGUCUGUCUAUGACUACAACAAGUUGUUUCAGAAGCUCGCCCGCUUUGCCAAGCAGGAUGUCCCUGAUGAGAAGAGCAUGAUAUAUCAGUUCAGGGGUGGUCUCAGAGAAGAAAUUCAGCUCUCUCUUGUCCUCUUUGAGCCCUUGAGAUACGAUGAGUUCUACAACAUGGCACUGAAGCAAGAGGCUGCUCAGUUGAGGUGUGAUGCUUCCAAGAAGCGAGUCAGAGAUGUUACUCCUUCUUCCUCUACUCAAGUGGCCAAGCAGCAGAAGUUUUGGCUUCCUCCUCCUCCGUUCAGUCAGCCGUAUCAGCAGAAGAGCAAAGGUGGCAGUGGUUCUUCCCACCCACCCAACCCUGGCUUUCAGAACAAGACUUCGUCUCAAGCUCCAAGAUCGAGUGCUCCGUAUCACCGUCCGCUUUCAGAGGUCACGUGCAACAAGUGCCAACAGAAGGGUCACUAUGCCAACAAGUGUUUCAACCAGAGGCGUCUUCCUUCUCCUCCUCCUGUCAGAUCGGCAAGUACAGCUGUGGUCAAGCAUAACCCCAAGCAUGCCAAGGUCAAUUUGAUGAAUGCAGCUCAGGCAGAGGACUCGUCAGAUGUGAUCAUGGGUAACCUUCCUAGUAAUGAUAUUCCUGCAAAAGUUCUUUUUGACACGGGUGCAUCGCAUUGUUUCAUCUCGAGACCUUUUGCAUCUAAGCAUGAUUUUGUUACUCAAGUGUUGCCGAAGCCGUUGGCUAUCGUCUCUCCAGCCCGUCAAAUGACAUCUCGAGUAUGCGUUCCGGAUGUUACUACCACUUUGGGUGACUAUAAGUUCUUGUCCUCUCCAAAUGUUCUUGGUGACUCGGAUAUUGAUCUUAUUCUCGGAAUGGAUUGGCUUUCUAAGCACAAGGCUCAGCUUGAUUGUGUAGCCAGGCAGAUUCAAUUGACUCAUUCGUCUGAGGAUGUUAUUGUCUUUGCCGCUCGAGAUAAUACUAUCCUUCUGUUUUCUCUCAAUGAGAAGGGUGAAUUAGAUGCCAUCUCUCAAAUUCCAGUCGUUUGCGAAUACCAAGACGUCUUUCCAGAAGAGCUCCCAGGAAUGCCUCCGCACCGGUCAGUUGAAUUCGUUAUUGAUCUUGAGCCUGGUACGGAACCUGUGUGCAAACGUCCUUACAAGCUCAGACCUGAAGAGUUGAAGGAGCUGAAGAAGCAACUCGAUGAGCAAGAAAGAAUGGGUCUCAUCCGGCCUAGUUCUUCUCCGUGGGGUUGUGGUGUUCUUUUUGUGAAGAAGAAGGAUGGAACGGACCGACUUCGUGUUGAUUACCGUCCAGUGAAUAAGAAGACCAUCAAGAACAAAUACCCACUUCCCAACAUCAAUGAGCUGUUCGAACAACUCAAAGGUGCCCAAGUUUUCUCCAAGCUUGAUCUCCGUAUGGGUUAUCACCAGAUUCGCAUUCGUGAAGAAGAUAUUCCCAAGACAGCAUUCAGAACAAGCUUUGGUUCAUAUGAAUACACUGUCAUGUCUUUUGGCCUUGCCAAUGCUCCUCCGACGUUCUCUCGCAUGAUGAACUUCAUCUUCAACGCCUACACCAAUGACUUCGUUUUGGUCUAUCUCGACGACAUUCUGGUUUUCUCGAAGAACAAGGAAGAUCAUGCCAAGCAUUUGCGUUUGGUUCUUGAUAAGCUCAGAGAACAUCAGUUCUACGCCAAGUUCUCCAAGUGUGAAUUUUGGCUCGAUGAGGUUCUUUAUCUUGGCCAUGCCAUCUCUGCCAAGGGCAUUGCCGUGAAUCCUGAGAAGGUGUCUGCAAUUGUGAAUUGGGAACCUCCUCAGAGUGUGAAGCAACUCCGCAGUUUUCUCGGUCUCGCAAGCUAUCGCCGAAGAUUCGUUGAAAACUUUUCUAAGAUCGCGAAGCCUCUCUCUAAUCUUCUUCAGAAGCACGUCAAGUAUGUUUGGUCUCCGGAGUGUGAUAUUGCUUUCAACACUUUGAAAGAGAAGUUGAUCACUGCUCCAGUUCUGACUCCGCCUGAUGAAUCCAAGCCGUACGAGGUCUUUUGUGAUGCCUCUCUCCAAGGUCUUGGCGCAGUUUUGAUGCAAGAGAAGAAAGUUGUUGCUUAUACAUCUCGCCAGUUGAAGUCUAAUGAGAAGAACUACCCCACUCAUGAUCUCGAGUUGGCGGCAGUUGUGCAUGCUCUUUUGACUUGGAGACAUCUUCUAUUGGGAAGGAAAUUGGAUAUUUUCACUGAUCACAAGAGUCUCAAGUACAUCUUCACUCAGCCUAAUCUCAACCUCAGGCAAACUCGAUGGGUCGAAAUGAUUCAAGAGUAUAAUCCAAGUAUUGAGUACACUUCAGGCAAGGCUAAUGUGAUUGCUGACGCUAUGAGCAGGAAAGCGUAUUGCAACAGUCUGAUUCUUAAGCCUUAUCAACCCGAGCUUUGUGAAGCUUUCCGCAAACUUAAUCUGCAAGUUGUUCCUCAAGGAUUCCUCGCCAACCUUCUAGUCUCUCCUACCUUAGAAGACAAGAUUCGCCAAGCACAGCUUCUUGAUGCUAUGGUGAAAAAGGUGAAGAUUGGGAUUGCCAAGAGUCAGUCCAAGUACAAGUGCUACCGCCUUGAUGACAAGGAAACUCUCUUCUUUGAGGAUCGUAUUGUUGUGCCCAAAGGUGACCUCCGUAAAGUGAUCAUGAACGAGGCUCACAAUUCUCUCCUCUCCAUCCACCCCGGGAGCACGAAGAUGUAUCAGGACCUCAAGCAAGCUUAUUGGUGGACUCGAAUGAAGCGCGAGAUCGCUCAAUUCGUGAAUGAAUGUGAUGUCUGCAGAAGAGUGAAGGCAGAACACCAAAGGCCAGCAGGUCUCCUCCAACCUCUUGCCAUUCCAGAAUGGAAGUUUGACCACAUUGAGAUGGACUUCGUGACUGGGUUUCCAAAGUCCAAGCGUGGCAAUGAUGCUAUAUUCGUUGUCAUCGACAAACUCACCAAAGUGGCUCAUUUUCUGCCUAUCAAAGAGUCGAUCACUGCAGCUCAAUUGGCGUAACUCUGUACCUCUCGCAUUGUCUCUCUGCACGGUAUUCCUCAAGUGAUCUCUUCAGACCGGGGCAUCAUCUUUACCUCGAAGUUUUGGGAUUCUUUCCAGAAGGCCAUGGGCACUAACAUCCGCUUCAGCACUGCUUUCCAUCCUCAAACAAGCGGUCAAGUCGAGCGUGUCAACCAGAUUCUUGAAGAUAUGCUCAGGGCUUGUGUGAUCUCCUUCGGCAUGAAGUGGGAGGAUUGUAUUCCUUAUGCUGAAUUUGUUGGGGAACAUAGUAAUUUCAAAAUUUUCCUAUGCACACGCAAGAUCAUGGUGAUGCAUAGCAACAAGGGGAGAGUAUGAUCUACGUACCCUUGUAGAUCGCAACGGAAGCGUUGACACAACGUAGAGGAAGUAGUCGUACAUCUUCUUCCCGAUCCAACCGAUCCAAGCACCGUUACUCCGGCACCUCCGAGUUCUUAGCACACGUACAGCUCGAUGACGAUCCCCGGGCUCCGAUCCAGCAAAGCUUCGGGGAGGAGUUCUGUCAGCACGACGGCGUGGUGACGAUCUUGAUGUAUUACCGACGCAGGGCUUCGCCUAAGCACUACAAUGAUAUGAUCGAGGUGGAAUAUGGUGGCAGGGGGCACCGCACACGGCUAAGGAACAAUCUCAAUGAUCAACUUGUGUGUCUAGAGGUGCCCCCUGCCUCCGUAUAUAAAGGAGCCAAGGGGGAGAGGUGCGCCGGCCAGGACCCCCCCCCCAAUCCUAUUCCAACUAGGAUUCCCAAGGGGGAAAGAGGGAGAGGGGUGGCCGGCCACCUCUCCUAGUCCUAAUAGGACUAGGGGAGGGGGGAGGCGCGCAGCCCUUAUGGGCAGCCCUUUCACCUUUCCACUAAGGCCCAAUAAGGCCCAUAUGACUCCCGGGGGGUUCCGGUAACCUCCCGGUAAUCCGGUAAAAUCCUGAUUUCACCCGGAACACUUCCGAUGUCCAAACAUAGGCUUCCAAUAUAUCAAUCUUUAUGUAUCGACCAUUUCGAGACUCCUCGUCAUGUCCGUGAUCACAUCCGGGACUCCGAACAACCUUCGGUACAUCAAAAUGCAUAAACUCAUAAUAACUGUCAUCGUAACGUUAAGCGUGCGGACCCUACGGUUCGAGAACAAUGUAGACAUGAACGAGACAUGUCUUCGGUUAAUAACCAAUAUCGGGACCUGGAUGCCCAUAUUGGCUCCUACAUAUUCUAUGAGGAUCUUUAUUGGUCAGACCGCAUAACAACAUACGUUGUUCCCUUUGUCAUUGGUAUGUUACUUGCCCGAGAUUCGAUCGUCGGUAUCCAAUACCUAGUUCAAUCUCGUUACCGGCAAGUCUCUUUACUCGUUCCAUAAUACAUCAUCUCACAACUACCAUAUUAGUUGUAAUGCUUGCAAGGCUUAUGUGAUGUGCAUUACCGAGAGGGCCCAGAGAUACCUCUCCGACAAUCGGAGUGACAAAACCUAAUCUCGAAAUACGCCAACCCAACAUGUACCAUUGGAGACACCUGUAGUACUCCUUUAUAAUCACCCAGUUACGUUGUGACGUUUGGUAGUACCCAAAGUGUUCCUCCGGUAAACGGGAGUUGCAUAAUCUCAUAGUUAUAGGAACAUGUAUAAGUCAUGAAGAAAGCAAUAGCAACAUACUAAACGAUCGGGUGCUAAGCUAAUGGAAUGGGUCAUGUCAAUCAGAUCAUUCAACUAAUGAUGUGACCUCGUUAAUCAAAUAACAACUCAUUGUUCAUGGUUAGGAAACAUAACCAUCUUUGAUUAACGAGGUAGUCAAGUAGAGGCAUACUAGUGACACUUUGUUUGUCUAUUUAUUCACACAUGUAUUAUGUUUCCGGUUAAUACAAUUCUAGCAUGAAUAAUAAACAUUUAUCAUGAUUAUAAGGAAAUAAAUAAUAACUUUAUUAUUGCCUCUAGGGCAUAUUUCCUUCAGUCUCCCACUUGCACUAGAGUCAAUAAUCUAGAUUACACUGUAAUGAUUAUAGCACCCAUGGAGCCUUGGUGCUGAUCAUGUUUUGCUCAUGGAAGAGGCUUAGUCAACGGGUCUGCAACAUUCAGAUCCGUAUGUAUCUUGCAAAUCUCUAUGUCUCCCACCUGGACUAGAUCCCGGAUGGAGUUGAAGCGUCUCUUGAUGUGCUUGGUCCUUUUGUGAAAUCUGGAUUCCUUUGCCAAGGCAAUUGCACCAGUAUUGUCACAAAAGAUUUUCAUUGGACCCGAUGCACUAGGUAUGACACCUAGAUCGGAUAUGAACUCCUUCAUCCAGACUCCUUCGUUUGCUGCUUCCGAAGCAGCUAUGUACUCCGCUUCACAUGUAGAUCCCGCUACGACGCUUUGUUUAGAACUGCACCAACUGACAGCUCCACCGUUCAAUGUAAACACGUAUCCGGUUUGCGAUUUAGAAUCGUCCGGAUCAGUGUCAAAGCUUGCAUCAACGUAACCUUUUACGGUGAGCUCUUUGUCACCUCCAUAUAUGAGAAACAUAUCCUUAGUCCUUUUCAGGUAUUUCAGGAUGUUCUUGACCGCUGUCCAGUGAUCCACUCCUGGAUUACUUUGGUACCUCCCUGCUAAACUUAUAGCAAGGCACACAUCAGGUCUGGUACACAGCAUUGCAUACAUGAUAGAGCCUAUGGCUGAAGCAUAGGGAACAUCUUUCAUUUUCUCUCUAUCUUCUGCAGUGGUCGGGCAUUGAGUCUGACUCAACUUCACACCUUGUAACACAGGCAAGAACCCUUUCUUUGCUUGAUCCAUUUUGAACUUUUUCAAAAUGUUGUCAAGGUAUGUGCUUUGUGAAAGUCCAAUUAAGCGUCUUCAUCUAUCUCUAUAGAUCUUUAUGCCUAAUAUGUAAGCAGCUUCACCGAGGUCUUUCAUUGAAAAACUCUUAUUCAAGUAUCCCUUUAUGCUAUCCAGAAAUUCUAUAUCAUUUCCAAUCAAUAAUAUGUCAUCCACAUAUAAUAUCAGAAAUGCUACAGAGCUCCCACUCACUUUCUUGUAAAUACAGGCUUCUCCGAAAGUCUGUAUAAACCCAAAUGCUUUAAUCACACUAUCAAAGCGUUUAUUCCAACUCCGAGAGGCUUGCACCAGUCCAUAAAUGGAUCGCUGGUGCUUGCACACUUUGUUAGCUCCCUUUGGAUCAACAAAACCUUCUGGUUGCAUCAUAUACAACUCUUCUUCCAGAAAUCCAUUCAGGAAUGCAGUUUUGACAUCCAUCUGCCAAAUUUCAUAAUUAUAAAAUGCGGCAAUUGCUAACAUGAUUCGGACAGACUUAAGCAUUGCUACGGGUGAGAAGGUCUCAUCGUAGUCAACCCCUUGAACUUGUCGAAAACCUUUUGCGACAAGUCGAGCUUUAUAGACAGUAACAUUACCGUCAGCAUCAGUCUUUUUCUUGAAGAUCCAUUUAUUCUCAAUUGCUUGCCGAUCAUCGGGCAAGUCAACCAAAGUCCAUACUUUGUUCUCAUACAUGGAUCCCAUCUCAGAUUUCAUGGCUUCAAGCCACUUUGCGGAAUCUGGGCUCACCAUCGCUUGUUCAUAGUUCGUAGGUUCAUCAUGAUCUAGUAGCAUGACUUCCAGAACUGGAUUACCGUACCACUCUGGUGCGGAUCUUACUCUGGUUCAUCUACGAGGUUUAGUAGUAUCUUGUUCUGAAGUUUCAUGAUCAUUAUCAUUAACUUCCUCACUUAUUGGUGUAGGUGUCGCAGAAACAGUUUUCUGUGAUGUACUAUUUUCUAACAAGGGAGCAGGUACAGUUACCUCGUCAAGUUCUACUUUCCUCCCACUCACUUCUUUCGAGAGAAACUCCUUCUCAAGAAAGUUUCCGAAUUUAGCAACAAAAGUCUUGCCUUCGGAUCUAUGAUAGAAGGUGUAUCCAAUAGUUUCCUUUGGAUAUCCUAUGAAUACACAUUUCUCCGAUUUGGGUUCGAGCUUAUCAGGUUGAAGCUUUUUCACAUAAGCAUCGCAGCCCCAAACUUUCAGAAACGACAACUUUGGUUUCUUGCCAAACCAUAGUUCAUAAGGCAUCGUCUCAACGGAUUUUGAUGGUGCCCUGUUUAACGUGAAUGCGGCCGUCUCUAGAGCGUAUCCCCAAAAUGAUAGCGGUAAAUCAGUAAGAGACAUCAUAGAUCGCACCAUAUCUAGUAAAGUACGAUUACGACGUUUGGACACACCAUUACGCUGUGGUGUUCCGGGUGGCGUGAGUUGCGAAACUAUUCCACAAAUUUUCAAAUGUACACCAAACUCAUAACUCAAAUAUUCUCCUCCACGAUCAGAACAUAGAAACUUUAUUUUCUUGUUACGAUGAUUUUCCACUUCACUCUGAAAUUCUUUGAACUUUUCAAAUGUUUCAGACUUAUGUUUCAUUAAGUAGAUAUAACCAUAUCUGCUUAAAUCAUCUGUGAAGGUGAGAAAAUAACGAUAUCCGCCACGGGCCUCAAUAUUCAUCGAACCACAUACAUCUGUAUGUAUGAUUUCCAACAAAUCUGUUGCUCUCUCCAUAGUACCGGAGUACGGUGUUUUAGUCAUCUUGCCCAUGAGGCACGGUUCGCAAGUACCAAGUGAUUCAUAAUCAAGUGGUUCCAAAAGUCCAUCAGUAUGGAGUUUCUUCAUGCGCUUUACACCGAUAUGACCUAAACGGUAGUUUCACAAAUAAGUUGCACCAUCAUUAUCAACUCUGCAUCUUUUGGCUUCAACAUUAUGAAUAUGUGUAUCACUACUCUCAAGAUUCAAUAAGAAUAGACCACUCUUCAAGGGUGCGUGACCAUAAAAGAUAUUACUCAUAUAAAUAGAACAACCAUUAUUCUCUGAUUUAAAUGAAUAACCGUCUCGCAUCAAACAAGAUCCAGAUAUAAUGUUCAUGCUUAACGCUGGCACUAAAUAACAAUUAUUUAGGUCUAAUACUAAUCCCGAAGGUAGAUGUAGAGGUAGCGUGCCGACCGCGAUCACAUCGACUUUGGAACCGUUUCCCACGCGCAUCGUCACCUCGUCCUUAGCCAAUCUUCGCUUAAUCCGUAGCCCUUGUUUCGAGUUGCAAAUAUUAGCAACAGAACCAGUAUCAAAUACCCAGGUGCUACUGCGAGCAUUAAUAAGGUACACAUCAAUAACAUGUAUAUCAUAUAUACCUUUGCUUACCUUGCCAUCCUUCUUAUCCGCCAAAUACUUUGGGCAGUUCCGCUUCCAGUGACCAGUCUGCUUGCAGUAGAAGCACUCAGUUUCAGGCUUAGGUCCAGACUUGGGUUUCUUCUCUUGAGCAGCAACUUGCUUGCCGUUCUUCUUGAAGUUCCCCUUCUUCUUCCCUUUGCCCUUUUUCUUGAAACUAGUGGUUUUGUUAACCAUCAACACUUGAUGCUCCUUUUUGAUUUCUACCUCCGCAGCUUUCAGCAUUGCGAAGAGCUCGGGAAUAGUCUUGUUCAUCCCUUGCAUAUUAUAGUUCAUCACGAAGCUCUUGUAGCUUGGUGGCAGUGAUUGGAGAAUUCUGUCAAUGACGCAAUCAUCUGGAAGAUUAACUCCCAAUUGAAUCAAGUGAUUAUUAUACCCAGACAUUUUGAGUAUAUGCUCACUGGCAGAACUGUUCUCUUCCAUCUUGCAGCUAUAGAACUUAUUGGAGACUUCAUAUCUCUCAAUCCGGGCAUUUGCUUGAAAUAUUAACUUCAACUCCUGAAACAUCUCAUAUGCUCCAUGACGUUCAAAACGUCGUUGAAGUCCCGAUUCUAAGCCGUAAAGCAUGGCACACUGAAAUAUCGAGUAGUCAUCAGCUUUGCUCUGCCAGACGUUCAUAACAUCUAGUGUUGCUCCAGCAGCAGGCCUGGCACCCAGCGGUGCUUCAAGGACGUAAUUCUUCUGUGCAACAAUGAGGAUAAUCCUCAAGUUACGGACCCAGUCCGUGUAAUUGCUACCAUCAUCUUUCAACUUUGCUUUCUCAAGGAACGCAUUAAAAUUCAACGGAACAACAGCACGAGCCAUCUAUCUACAAUCAACAUAAAUAAGCAAGAUACUAUCAGGUACUAAGUUCAUGAUAAAUUUAAGUUCAAUUAAUCAUAUUACUUAAGAACUCCCACUUAGAUAGACAUCCCUCUAAUCCUCUAAGUGAUCACGUGAUCCAAAUCAACUAAACCAUGUCCGAUCAUCACGUGAGAUGGAGUAGUUUCAUUGGUGAACAUCAUUAUGUUGACCAUAUCUACUAUAUGAUUCACGCUCGACCUUUCGGUCUCCGUGUUCCGAGGCCAUAUCUGUAUAUGCUUGGCUCGUCAAGUAUAACCUGAGUAUUCCGCGUGUGCAACUGUUUUGCACCCGUUGUAUUUGAACGUAGAGCCUAUCACACCCGAUCAUCACGUGGUGUCUCAGCACGAAGAACUUUCGCAAGGGUGCAUACUCAGGGAGAACACUUCUUGAUAAUUUAGUGAGAGAUCAUCUUAUAAUGCUACCGUCAAUCAAAGCAAGAUAAGAUGCAUAUAAAGAUAAACAUCACAUGCAAUCAAUAUAAGUGAUAUGAUAUGGCCAUCAUCAUCUUGUGCCUGUGAUCUCCAUCUCCGAAGCACCGUCAUGAUCACCAUCGUCACCGGCGCGACACCUUGAUCUCCAUCGUAGCAUCGUUGUCGUCUCGCCAAUCUUAUGCUUCCACGGCUACCGUUUAGUGAUAAAGUAAAGCAUUACAUCGCGAUUGCAUUGCAUACAAUAAAGCGACAACCAUAUGGCUCCUGCCAGUUGCCGAUAACUCGGUUACAAAACAUGAUCAUCUCAUACAAUAAAAUUUAGCAUCAUGCCUUGACCAUAUCACAUCACAACAUGCCCUGCAAAAAGAAGUUAGACGUCCUCUACUUUGUUGUUGCAAGUUUUACGUGGCUGCUACGGGCUUUAAGCAAGAACCAAUCUCACCUACGCAUCAAAACCACAACGAUAGUUUGUCAAAUAGACUCUGUUUUAACCUUCGCAAGGACCGGGCGUAGCCACACUCGGUUCAACUAAAGUUGGAGAGACAGUCGCCCGCAAGCCAUCUAUGUGCAAAGCACGUCGAGGGAACCGGUCUCGCGUAAGCGUACGCGUAAGGUUGGUCCGGGUCGUCUCGUCCAACAAUACCGCCGAACCAAAGUAUGACAUGCUGGUAGGCAGUAUGACUUGUAGCGUCCACAACUCACUUGUGUUCUACUCGUGCAAAUAACAUCAAACCAUAAAACCUAGGCUCGGAUGCCACUGUUGGGGAACGUAGUAAUUUCAAAAUUUUCCUACGCACACGCAAGAUCAUGGUGAUGCAUAGCAACGAGGGGAGAGUAUGAUCUACGUACCCUUGAAGAUCGCAAUGGAAGCGUUGACACAACGUAGAGGAAGUAGUCGUACGUCUUCUUCCCGAUCCAACCGAUCCAAGCACCGUUACUCUGGCACCUCCGAGUUCUUAGCACACGUACAGCUCGAUGACGAUCCCCGGGCUCUGAUCCAGCAAAGCUUCGGGGAGGAGUUCUGUCAGCACGACGGCGUGGUGACGAUCUUGAUGUAUUACCGACGCAGGGCUUCGCCUAAGCACUACAACGAUAUGAUCGAGGUGGAAUAUGGUGGCAGGGGGCACCGCACACGGCUAAGGAACAAUCUCAAUGAUCAACUUGUGUGUCUAGAGGUGCCCCCUGCCUCCGUAUAUAAAGGAGCCAAGGGGAAGAGGUGCGCCGGCGAGGAGGAGGGCGCAGGAGGAGUCCUACUCCUACCGGGAGUAGGACUCCCCCCCCCCCCAAUCCUAUUCCAACUAGAAUUCCCAAGGGGGAAAGAGGGAGAGGGGUGGCCGGCCACCUCUCCUAGUCCUAAUAGGACUAGGGGAGGGGGGGGGAGGCGCGCAGCCCGUAUGGGCAGCCCUUUCACCUUUCCACUAAGGCCCAAUAAGGCCCAUACGACUCCCGGGGGGUUCCGAUAACCUCCCGGUAAUCCGGUAAAAUCCCGAUUUCACCCGGAACACUUCCGAUGUCCAAACAUAGGCUUCCAAUAUAUCAAUCUUUAUGUCUCGACCAUUUCGAGACUCCUCGUCAUGUCCGUGAUCACAUCUGGCACUCCGAACAACCUUCAGUACAUCAAAAUGCAUAAACUCAUAAUAACUAUCAUCGUAACGUUAAGCGUGCGGACCCUACGGUUCGAGAACAAUGUAGACAUGACCGAGACACGUCUCCGGUCAAUAACCAGUAGCGGGACCUGGAUGCCCAUAUUGGCUCCUACAUAUUCUACGAAGAUCUUUAUCAGUCAGACCGCAUAACAACAUACGUUGUUCCGUUUGUCAUUGGUAUGUUACUUGCCCGAGAUUCGAUCGUCGGUAUCCAAUACCUAGUUCAAUCUCGUUACCGACAAGUCUCUUUACUCGUUCCGUAAUACAUCAUCUCACAACUACCAUAUUAGUUGUAAUGCUUGCAAGGCUUAUGUGAUGUGCAUUACCGAGAGGGCCCAGAGAUACCUCUCCGACAAUCGGAGUGACAAAACCUGAUCUCGAAAUACGCCAACCCAACAUGUACCAUUGGAGACACAUGUAGUACUCCUUUAUAAUCACCCAGUUACAUUGUGACGUUUGGUAGUACCCAAAGUGUUCCUCCGGUAAACGGGAGUUGCAUAAUCUCAUAGUUAUAGGAACAUGUAUAAGUCAUGAAGAAAGCAAUAGAAACAUACUAAACGAUUGGGUGCUAAGCUAAUGGAAUGGGUCAUGUCAAUCAGAUCAUUCAACUAAUGAUGUGACCUCGUUAAUCAAAUAACAACUCAUUGUUCAUGGUUAGGAAACAUAACCAUCUUUGAUUAACGAGCUAGUCAAGUAGAGGCAUACUAGUGACACUUUGUUUGUCUAUUUAUUCACACAUGUAUUAUGUUUCCGGUUAAUACAAUUCUAGCAUGAAUAAUAAACAUUUAUCAUGAUUAUAAGGAAAUAAAUAAUAACUUUAUUAUUGCCUCUAGGGCAUAUUUCCUUCAGAAUUCUCAUACAACAAUAGUUUUCAAGCAAGUUCGGGCAAGGCCCCUUUUGAAAUUCUAUAUGGCAGGAAGUGCCGUACCCCUCUCAACUGGUCUGAAACCGGUGAACGUCAGCUUUUGGGUAAUGACUUAAUCACAGAAGCAGAAGAAAUGUGCAAAGUCAUUCGUGAUAACCUCAAAGCAGCCCAAUCCCGCCAGAAGAGCCACUAUGAUAGUAAGCACCGUGAUUUGGCUUUCGAGAUCGGAGAUCAUGUUUACCUCCGUGUCUCUCCUAUGAAAGGUACUCGUUGCUUCGGUAUCAAAGGGAAGCUCUCCCCUAGAUACGUGGGACCUUUCAAGAUUGUCAGCAAGAGAGGCGACCUCGCCUAUCAACUCGAGCUUCCUUCAAACUUUGCAAAUGUUCAUGAUGUGUUCCAUGUCUCUCAGCUUCGAAAGUGCUUCAAGACUCCUGACCGCACAGUCAACUUCGAGGACAUUGAGCUCCAAGAAGACCUCUCUUAUCGUGAGCACCCAGUUGCUAUUCUUGAAGAGACUGAACACAAGAUUCGCAACAAGUCAAUCAAAUUUCUCAAAGUCAAGUGGUCACACCAUUCUGAACGUGAAGCUACCUGGAGACUCCUGACACCAUUCAGUCCUAGAUCUCGGGACGAGAUCCUUUCGUAGUGGUGGAGUGUUGUAACACCCCGGAUGUAACUUUCCCUAUUUGUACUCCAACUCUUGCCGUUUCCGGCGUUAAGUUAUUUUAUUUCCUCAGGUUCCGGUUUUGUCUUCAUGUGUUGUUGUCUUUGUCAUGCAUCUCAUAUCAUGUCAUCAUGUGCAUUGCAUUUGCAUACAUGUUCGUCUUAUGCAUUCGAGCAUUUUCCCCGUUGUCCGUUUUGCAUUCCGGCGCUUCGUUCUCCUCCGAUGGUCAUUUUUAGCUUUGUUUCGUGUGUGGGGAUUAAACAUUUCCGGAUUGGACCGAGACUUGCCAAGCGGCCUUGGUUUACUACCGGUAGACCGCUUGUCAAGUUUCGUGUCAUUUGGACUUCGUUUGGUACUCCAACGGUUAACCGAGGGACCGAAAAGGCCUCGUGUGUGUUGCAGCCCAACACCCCUCCAAUUUGGCCCAAAACCCACCAAACUAUGCUCCAUGUCCUAGAGCGUUCGAUCACGAUCGCGUGGCCGAAAACCGCACCUUAUUUGGACUCUCCUAGCUUCCCCUAUGCCUAUAUAUACACCCUCAUUCCAAUUCGCGGAUCCUCUCCCCCCUAACCCUAAAAAAUCACAGAUCCGCCGCUGCGGACGUGUCCGGGCGGAGCCGGACAACGUCCGCCGCCCCCGCGCCCAGCCAGGACGCGCCAUGUGGCACCCGGCGCCCGCCGCCGCCNNNNNNNNNNNNNNNNNNNNNNNNNNNNNNNNNNNNNNNNNNNNNNNNNNNNNNNNNNNNNNNNNNNNNNNNNNNNNNNNNNNNNNNNNNNNNNNNNNNNNNNNNNNNNNNNNNNNNNNNNNNNNNNNNNNNNNNNNNNNNNNNNNNNNNNNNNNNNNNNNNNNNNNNNNNNNNNNNNNNNNNNNNNNNNNNNNNNNNNNNNNNNNNNNNNNNNNNNNNNNNNNNNNNNNNNNNNNNNNNNNNNNNNNNNNNNNNNNNNNNNNNNNNNNNNNNNNNNNNNNNNNNNNNNNNNNNNNNNNNNNNNNNNNNNNNNNNNNNNNNNNNNNNNNNNNNNNNNNNNNNNNNNNNNNNNNNNNNNNNNNNNNNNNNNNNNNNNNNNNNNNNNNNNNNNNNNNNNNNNNNNNNNNNNNNNNNNNNNNNNNNNCCGCCUGGUCGCCGCCAUCGCCGCCACCGGCCGUGCCGGCCUCUCCGUCGCCCGGAUCCGCCCCGGCCGCGGCCUCCCUCCGGCGUCGCCCGUCUUCCUCCGGCCAAGGAGCCAUUUCUGGUGAGGAGCUACAGUGCAGAUCCGGUCGCACCUCGGGUUGCGUGCCCGGAACCCUAGAUCUGAUCCGGGUUAGUUUUUUUUUACUAAGUCCCAGAAUUCUUGUUCCAUAUGCUCAUGUUCGAGGUCCUGUAACUUUGCAUCCGUAGCUCCGAUUUGGGCAUAUAGUAUAUCAAAAUGUUCGACUCGACGAGUACAUCAUUUCAUUACAUUGUAUCAUUUUCAUUUGAGUUCAUCUUGAUGCCCGAAAUGCUGUUAGAAGAGGGCUUCGUGAGUUAAUUGUCAGAUCUGCUAGUUCAUCUUAGACUUUUGUCAUUUUUGCCAUGAUUGUUGUGUGCAUGAUAUGCCCGUGAGUCCUUCAUAUGUUUUGUUAAGGAUUUUGUCUUCUUUCCAGCGGUGCAACCCAUGCAUUUUUGUGAUGUGUGUGGUGACUUGUGCAAGCUUGCAAAGUGAGGCACCCGGUAAAUCUGUUUUCAGGGACUUGGUAGUUUUCACUAAGUCCGGGAUUAUUUAGUUCAUGAUGCCAUAUGUUCAGCUUGUUUCCUAGUGAUCCAUGCCUCUUCUGAGGAUGAUCAGUAAAGGAGUUUUGUUAAUCAUGUUAUGCUCUAUCCAUCCAUAUCUUUGUUUGGAAUUAUGGAGCACCCUAGCUUGAGUCAAUCGAGCUCUACUUUUGCUUCGUUGUGAAUCUAGGCAGAUCGUCAACUUGUUUGCGAUUUUGCCGAUGCUAUUGUAGUUUAUCCGUGCAUGCUAUGCCAUCGUUCUUGCCAUGUCUAGCUAGCAUUUUGUGCCUUAUUAAUGGAUGUAUGCUUGCCUUGCCAUGACUUGCACCGUAGUGAGUGCAUCGAGCUUGUAAACAUGCCUUCGUGAGUUAUAUUUCAGCAUGUCUCAGUUUUCACUAAGUCUGAAAACUGAUUGUGUUUUAGCUAUGUUCGUGUGCCCGUUAGUAUAUUUUGUGAACCCUUUUGGCCCCAGGUCACUAAGGGACUUUUGUUAAGCUUGUUGAGUAGCUCCAUGCCAUGUCUUUCUUUGUCAUGUUCAGGUCCUGUAGCAUGUUGUUUUGAUGCUCCGAAGAGGGCUUCACGAUCUGAAAUUUCAGAAAAGUGUUAAUUUCACUAAGUCUGGAAUCUGUUUUGCAUUUGCAUUUUUGCCAUGCUUGUUUGAACCUCAUAAUGGAUGAAUUGGCCGUGGCUCAGUGCUAGUCUUUUGUUAAGCAUCUUGUGGGCAUCCCUGCCAUGUAUUUUGUUGUCAUGUUUGGUGGUUGUAGCAUGUUCAUUUUGUUGCAUUUAGAUGCCUACUUGCUGUAAAUCGCAGACCGGUGUCAUUUUUGAAACGCUUGCCAUUUCCAAACCGUAACUCCGAUUCCGGCGUUCUUUAUAUCGUUUUCAAGAGAUUUCAUCUCAUCUUUCUAGUGGCACCCUUGGAAUUCCAAGUUGAGGCCAGGUUCAUGCAUUUCCUGUCAUAUCUUGCAUUUUGCAUCCCUCGUCGCAUCCCGCAUAGCAUAUCAUCAUUGCAUCAUAUCGCUUGAUCCUUGCACGUGGUUGAUUGUAUCCUUGUUGCUUGUUUGUCUUGUUUGGGUAGAGCUGGGAGACGAGUUCGCUACUGAGGAGCCCGUUGAUUUUGCUUGUGAGGAUCCAGUCAACUCUGACAACUGUGCAGGCAAGAUGAUCAUACCCUCGAAAUCACUACUAUCUUUGCUAUGCUAGUUUGCUCGCUCUUUGCUAUGCCAAUGCUAUGAUGCCUACCAUUUGCUUGUCAGCCUCCCAAAUUGCCAUGUAAAACCUCUAACCCACCAUGUCCUAGCAAACCGUUGAUUGGCUAUGUUACCGCUUUGCUCAUCCCCUCUUAUAGCGUUGCUAGUUGCAGGUGAAGAUUGGAGGCCGUUCCUUGUUGGAACAUUUAUUUACUUGUUGGGAUAUCACUAAAUUGCUAUGUUAUCUUAAUGCAUCUAUAUACUUGGUGAAGGGUGGAAGGCUCGGCCUCUCUCCUAGUGUUUCGUUCCACUCUUGCCACCCUAGUUUCCGUCAUAUCGGUGUUAUGUUCCCGGAUUUUACGUUCCUUACGCGGUUGGGUUAUAAUGGGAACCCCUUAAUAGUUCGCCUUGAUCAAAGCUUUUCCAGCAAUGCCCAACAUUGGUCUUACCAUUUGCCACCUAGCCUUUUCUUUCCCUUGGGUUCUGCAGACUCAAGGGUCAUCUUAUUUUAACCCCCCCGGGCCAGUGCUCCUCUGAGUGUUGGUCCAAACUAGAGCCCCUUGCAGCGCCACCUCGGGGGAACUCGAGGGCUGGUUUUAGUUGUAUGGGUUGCUUAUCUGAGUGUGCCCUGAGAAAGAGAUAUGUGCAGCUCCUAUCAGGAUUUGUCGGCACAUUCGGGCGGUGUUGCUGGUCUUGUUUUAACCUGUCGAAUUGUCUUGUUGUACCGCGUUACCGAGUCUGAUCGGUGUGUCUCGGGUGGAGGUCUAUUCCUUCGUUGACCGUGAGAGCUUGUCCUGGGCUAAGUUGGGACUCCCCUGCAGGGAUUGAACUUUCGAAAGUCGUGCCCGCGGUUAUGGGCAGAUGGGAAUUUGUUAAUGUCCGGUUGUAGAUAACUUGAACUAAACUUAACUAAAAUGUAUCAACCGCAUGUGUUACCGUGAUGGCCUCUUCUCGGCGGAGUCCGGGAAGUGGACACGGUGUUGGGGUAAUGUUUGCACAUGUUGUUCUCUAGUUUCUCGCUCGUGCUUUGCCUCCUCUUCUCGCUCUCCUUUGCGAAUAGGUUAGCCACCAUACUUGCUAGUCGCUUGUCACAGCUCCACUCAUAUUUUACCUUGCCUUACCCAUAAGCUUGAAUAGUCUUGAUCGCGAGGGUGCGAGAUUGCUGAGUCCCUCUGGCUCACAGAUUACUAUUACACCAGAUGCAGGGCCUGAUGAUUCCGCUCCAGGAGACGCGUAUGAGCUCAAGUGGGAGUUCGACGAAGACUCUCAACGAUACUAUGUUUCCUUUCCCGAUGAUCAGUAGUGGUGCCCAGUUGGGGGUGAUUGGGACCGUGUCGCAUGUUGGGUUCUCUUUUAUUUUGGCGCCGUAGUCGGGCCAUGAGUGUAUGGAUGUUGUAAUGUUAAAUUAUGUUCUUGAUUGACGUGGCGAGUGUAAGCCAACUAUGUUCUCCCCUUUAUUAUUCAUAUUACAUGGGAUGUUGUGAAGAUUGCCUAACUUGCGACAUAUGCCUUCAAUGCGAUUAUGUCUCUAAGUCGUGCCUCGACACGUGGGAGCUAUAGUCGCAUCGAGGGUGUUAUACCCUAUUCUUAACAAUAAAAUCAUGUGCCACCAUACUUUUAUAAUCUAAAUAAACACAAGGCAGCACUUUUUCUUCCUUCUCAUAAUGCCUAACAGGUAUGUUAAAAUGUGCAGCUAGGCAUGAAGCAUAGAUGCCUCCAAAGAUGGGGCCCUUUGUACGGUUCAGACUUAACCGUUUAGCAAUAAUGCCGCCCAGACUAACAGAGUUAUCACCAUAUAGACCGUGGAGCAAAAUAAUAAUAUCAGGGAUACUAUGGUUUCCACAGUUUCCGCGACCAAUUAAACAACGACUAGCAAAUAAUGCAAAGUAACGUAAAACCAGAAAAUGUAUGGUAGUGAUUCGUGCAUCGGAAACCUACCUUGUUUCCCCUAUAGUGAUAGUAUCAAUGAACCCCUCCACAUCAUCGCGAUGUGGUUCUUCUGUCUUGCCCUCAAAAGGGACUAAACAAACCCGACAAAAAUCAUAAAGUGACAUCUCCUUAUGCUCAUCAUAUAAAUGGAACUCCACCGUAGGUGGUGAGCUCCUAGAAUGGAAAUGAAAGUUUUGCUCAAAGUUAUUUGUGAGUAAGAGAUACUGAUCGCAUUGUUCAUGGAGGAAAGCGGUGAGGCCUGCAUUUUUAGCCAAUUCUUGAAAAUCUUCAUAAAUCCCGGCAGCUCUCAAGAAAUCAUCGGAAGGCCAUUCACACGCCCGAAUCUCCGUGGUGCGAGGCAGAUUAUACUUAGGCUUUAGUGCCUUUUCCUUCGAGCUUUGGCUCGAUGAGCCCCUCAAAAGUCUCCUCAUCAUUUUCUGAAAAAUUGUGAAAAUUUUAGUAACUUCAAAAUAAAAGUAAACCAAACUCAAUAAUAUUGAUAGCAACUACUCCUACAAGUGCCUAGGGCCUAUAUCAUACAUCAAAACUACUUUUGACCGUAUAAAUUUGUCAUGCAAGCUCAAGAACAGGAUCACCUAAGCAGCAAAAAAAUGCAAAGAAUAAAGCACUAGAGCGAAAACUAAUUGGACCAAUGGAUGAGUCACAUACCAAGGAACAAUCUCCCCAAGCAGUUUUGUGAGAGGUGCUUUGAGCAAGGAGAUGGAAAAUGGCAGCAAAGUGAGCUAGAACUCGUGCUUGAGCUGGAUAUUCAUGUUUGGGGGAGGAAGAAGGAGUGUAUGGGUGAAAGGAUAAGUGGAGGAGGGCCACCGUGGGCCCAUGAGGCAGGGGGGCGCGCCCUCCACCCUCGUGGGCAGGUGGUUGACCCCCCUGCUGUGUUCUUUGUGCCAAAUAUUCUCAAAUAUUCUGGAAAAAAUCAUAUUUAAAUUUCAGGGCAUUUGGAGAACUUUUAUUUUCGAGGUAUUUUUAUAUUGCACGGAUAAUUAGAUAACAGACAGAAAAAUAUAUAUUUUUAUUUUAUUUAAUAUAAAUAACAGAAAGUAAAAGUGGGGUACAGAAGGUUGUGCCUUCUAGUUUCAUCCAUCUCAUGAUCAUAAAAAGGAAUCCACUAACAAGGUUGAUCAAGUCUUGUUAACGAACUCAUUCCGAAUAACAUGGAAUCGGAGAAAUUUCGAAUAACACUAUGUUACCUCAACAGGGAUAUGCACAUCCCCAAUAAUAAGAAUAUCAUAUUUCUUCUGACACUAGGAAGAGGAAAUCCAAAACCUCCAAAUAUAAUCGAUGGAAUUUUUCCAAUAGAGUUGAUACUAUGAACUUGAGGUUGUUUCCUCGGAAAGUGUAUCGUAUGCUCAUUACCAUUAACAUGAAAAGUGGCAUUGCCUUUAGUGCAAUAAAUAACAGCCCCUGUAGUAUUCAAAAAGGGUCUUCCAAGAAUAAUAGACAUACUAUCAUCCUCGGGAAUAUCGAGAAUAACAAAGUCCGUUAAAAUAUUAACAUUUGCAACUACAACAGACACAUCUUCACAAAUACCGACAGGUAUAGCAGUUGAUUUAUCAGCCAUUUGCAAAGAUAUUUCAGUAGGUGUCAACUUAUUCAAAUCAAGUCUACGAUAUAAAGAGAGAGGCAUAACACUAACACCGGCUCCAAGAUCACAUAAAGCAGUUUUAACAUAAUUUCUUUUAAUGGAGCAUGGUAUAGUUGGUACACCGGGAUCUCCAAGUUUCUUUGGUAUUCCACCCUUAAAAGUAUAAUUAGCAAGCAUGGUGGAAAUUUCAGCUUCCGGUAUCUUUCUUUUAUUUGUAAUAAUAUCUUUCAUGUACUUAGCAUAAUGAUUGGUUUUGAGCAUAUCAGUUAAUCGCAUACGCAAAAAGAUAGGUCUAAUCAUUUCAGCAAAGCGCUCAAAAUCCUCAUCAUCCUUUUUCUUGGAUGGUUUGGGAGGAAAAGGCAUGGGUUUCUGAACCCAUGGUUCUCUUUCUUUACCAUGUUUCCUAGCAACAAAGUUUUUCUUAUCAUAACGCUGAUUCUUUGAUUGUGGGUUAUCAAGAUCAAUGUUCAAUUUCUAUAUCAUUAUCAUUGCUAGGUUGAGCAUCAUCAUUAAUAUUAUCAUUAACAUUAUUACUAGUUUCAGGUUCAUUACCAGAUUGUGUUUCAGCGUCAGAAAUAGAAAUAUCAUUUGGAUUCUCAUGUGUUUCAGUAAUAGGAUCACUAGAAGCAUGCAAAGUCCUAUCAUUUUUCUUUUUCUUCUUUUUAGAAGAACUAGGUACAUCUAUAUUAUUUUUGUGAGAAUCUUGCUCAAUUCUCUUAGGGUGGACUUCAGGAUACAAAGGUUCCUGAGUCAUUCUACCAGUUCUAGUAGCCACUCUAACAACAUUAUCAUUAUUCUUACUAUUCAAUUCAUUGAGCAAAUCAUUUUGAGCUUUAAGUACUUGUUCUACUUGAGUGGUUACCAUAGAAGCAUGUUUACUAAUAAGUUUAAGUUCACCUUUAACAUUAGCAAUAUAAUCACCCAAGUGUUCAAGCAUAUUUGAAUUGUAUUUCAAUUGUCUACCAAAAUAAGCAUUAAAGUCUUCUUGCUUAACCAUAAAUUUAUCAAACUCAUCUAAGCAUGGGCUAGCAAACUUAGUAAAUGGAAUUUCAGCUUUAUCAUAUAUAUAGAGAGAAUUUACCUUUACUAACUGUGUCGGGUUAUCAAGACCAUGAGUUUCUUCAAUAGCUAAUGGAUUAAGAUUAUAUGUUUCUUCAACAGGCGGUAAAUUAAGACCAUGUAUUUCUUUGAUAGGAGGUAAAUUCUUAACAUCUUCAGCUUUAAUACCUUUGUAUUUCAUAGAUUUCUUUGCCUCUUGCAUAUCUUCAGGACUGAGAAAUAGAAUACCCCUCUUCUUCGGAGUUGGUUUAGGAAUAGGCUCAGGAAUUGGCUCCGGAGGUGUCCAAUUAUUUUCAUUUGUCAACAUAUUAUUCAAUAGAAUUUCAGCUUCAUCUGGUGUUCUUUCCCUGAAAACAGAACUAGCACAACUAUCCAGGUAAUCUGUGGAAGCAUCAGUUAGUCCAUUAUAAAAGAUAUCAAGUAUUUCAUUUUUCUUAAGAGGAUGAUCAGGCAAAGCAUUAAGUAAUUGGAGAAGCCUCCCCCAAGCUAGUGGGAGACUCUCUUCUUUAAUUUGCACAAAAUUAUAUAUAUACCUUAAAGUAGCUUAUUUCUUAUGAGCAGGGAAAUAUUUAGCAGAGAAGUAAUAAAUCAUAUCCUGGGGACUACACACACAACCAGGAUCAAGAGAAUUAAAUCAUAUCUUAGCAUCACCCUUUAAUGAGAACGGAAAUAUUUUAAGGAUGUAAAAGUAACGAGUUCUCUCAUCUUUAGUGAACAGGGUGGCUAUAUCAUUCAAUUUAGUAAGAUGUGCCACAACAGUUUCAGAUUAAUAACCAUGAAAAGGAUCAGAUUCAACCAAAGUAAUUAUAUCAGCAUCAACAGAGAAUUCAUAAUCCUUAUCAGUAACAAAGAUAGGUGAAGUAGCAAAAGCAGGGUCAGGUUUCAUUCUAGCAUUUAGAGAUCGCUUACUCCAUUUAGCUAAUAACCUUUUGAGUUCAUUUCUAUUUUUGCAAGCUAAAAUAGCUAAAGAAGCUUCUUGAUCAAAAACAUAACACUUAGGAAUAACAAGUGAUUCUUCAUCAUCACUUUCAUCAGUAUCAUCAGAUUCAAUAUUUUCAAUUUCUCUAGCCCUAGCAAGUUGUUCAUCAAGAAAAUCACUAAGUGGCAUAGUAGUAUCAGACAUAGAGGUAGUUUCAUCAUAAGUAUCAUGCAUAGCAGAAGUGGCAUCAUCAAUAACAUGUGACAUAUUAGAACAAAUAGCAGAAGCAGGUGUAGGUGUCGCAAGCCUACUCAAAAUAGAAGGUGAAUCAAGUGCAGAGCUAGAUGGCAGUUCCUUACCUCCCCUCGUAGUUGAGGGAUAAAUCUUAGUUCUUGGAUCUUUCAAGUUCUUAUAAUGAUAAGCAGAUAUAUAUCCCAAGUGACUCAAAGAAUAGAGCUAUGCUCCCCGACAACGGCGCCAUAAAAUAGUCUUGAUAACCCGCAAGUAUAGGGAUCGCAACAGUUUUCGAGGGUAAAUUAUUCAACCCAAAUUUAUUGAUUCGACACAAGGGGAGCCAAAUAAUACUCUCAAGUAUUAGCAGCUGAGUUGUCAAUUCAACCACACCUGGAAACUUAAUAUCUGCAGCAAGGUAUUUAGUAGCAAAAUAAUAUGAUAAUAGUGGUAACGGUAAUAAAAGGUAACAAUAGUAAAAGCAAUGUUUUUGGUAUUUUGUAGUGAUGAUAGCAAUAGCAACGGGAAAGCAAAUAAGCUAAGAACAAUAGGCAAUGGAUCGGUGAUGGAGAAUUAUGCCGGAUGCGGUUCAUCAUGUAACAGUCAUAACCUAGGGUGACACAGAACUAGCUCCAGUUCAUCAAUAUAAUGUAGGCAUGUAUUCCGAAUAUAGUCAUACGUGCUUAUGGAAACAAACUUGCAUGACAUCUUUUGUCCUACCCUCCCGUGGCAGCGGGGUCCUUACGGAAACUAAGGGAUAUUAAGGCCUCCUUUUAAUAGAGAACCGGAACAAAGCAUUAACAUAUAGUGAAUACAUGAACUCCUCAAACUACGAUCAUCACCGGUAAGUAUCCCGGUUAUUGUCACUUCGGGGUUAACGAAUCAUAACACAUAAUAGGUGACUAUAGACUUGCAAGAUAGGAUCAAGAACACUCAUAUAUUGAUAAAAACAUAAUAGGUUUAGAUCUGAAAUCAUGGCACUCGGGCCCUAGUGACAAGCAUUAAGCAUAGCAAAGUCAUAGCAACAUCAAUCUCAGAACAUAGUGGACACUAGGGAUCAAACACUAACAAAACUAACUCGAUUACAUGAUAGAUCCCAUCCAAGCCAUCACCGUCCAGCAAGCCUACGAUGGAAUUACUCACGCAUGGUGGUGAGCAUCAUGAAAUUGGUGAUGGAGGUUCGUUGAUGAUGACGAUGGCGACCGAUUCCCCUCUCCGGAGCCCCGAACAGACUCCAGAUCAGCCCUCCCGAGAGGUUUUAGGGCUUGGGGGCAGCUCCGUAUCGUAAAACGUGAUGAAUUCUUCUCUCUGAUUUUUUUCUCCCUGAAACUCAAUAUAUGGAGUUGGAGUUGGAGUCGGAGAGGCAACAGGGGGCCCACGAGGUAAGGGGGGCGCGCCCCCCACCCUCAUGGGAAGGUGGUGGUCCCCCUGGCCUUCAUCUUUUGCAGGUAUUUUUCAUAUUUUCUGAAAAGUGGCUUCGUAAAGUUUCAGGUCAUUCCGAGAACGUUUGCUCCUGCACAUAAAUAACACCAUGGUAAUUCUGCUAAAAACAGCAUCAGUCCAGGUUAGUUCCAUUCAAAUCAUGCAAGUUAGAGUCCAAAACAAGGGCAGAAGUGUUUGGAAAAGUAGAUGCGUUGGAGACGUAUCAGGUCUUCGGCAUUCUCCGAAGUAUUAUUGUCUUUGGUGCCAGUAUUGCUGUCUUUGUCGCGACGUGAUUUUGAGCGGCGCCGCUGACGUCGAUGCUUCAGAGGGGCUUCGGCAGGCUUGUCCUCAACCGGAUUAUCCUUGCCGGCGUCGCCAUCCUCUUUGGGUGUGUCCACCAUGUACACGUCGUAUGUGGAGGUGGCCGUCCAUCGUCCGGUAAACGGAGGGUUUUGGCCUUGUUCGUCAUCAGCAUCGUCGUCCUUACCAUUGAUGUCUUCGGAGGCGUAAUCCAACAUGUUGGUUAAAUCUUCGACAGUGGCUAUCAAGUGGGUGGUGGGUGGCAAAAUUCCCUGCUCUCAGCCCCUAGUUUGGGUUGGGCUUAUUUCAGAAGCGAUCCUUCCGUAAUGGCGAGUGAUCGCAUUAAUCCCAGGGCCUCGUUUAAAGGUGAGGGUUGGACAAAGAAAUGAGAGUCUGUGGGGCUGUCCGGAGUCGUAGUCUCCUGGCGGCGCCCGCUUGACACAAACCUCGAGAGUUCAGACCUAUAGUCUGGCGGAGUGUCUGGUGCUUCUCCAGCAGAAAGUUCCAUAAAUGCAGAGAGUCUGGCGGGCUCUAAACUCCCGUCUUUGGACCUAUCGGCCUGCUCUGGAUCUAAGUCCAGAGUGGUAAUUGGGGCCACGAACCCUUUGAAGAUCAAAUCUCCUCGGAUAUCAGCAACAUAGUUUAAGUUCCCAAAACUGAUCAGAUGACCAGGGGCGUAGCCGUUGAACUGCUCGAGGUGGCCAAUUGAGUUGGCACGCAACACGAAGCCAUCGAAUAUGAAAAUUUGGCAGGGGGAUCUCCCCAGAAAUAGCAUCAUUAUUGAUCGAAUCCUUUAUGGACAACAUAGAGGAACUCUCAAUGAAAGCACUAAUGUCGGUGUCAAAACCGGCGGAUCUCGGGUAGGGGUUCCUGAACUGUGUGUCUAAGGAUCGGAGGUAAUAGGAGGCAGGGGACACGAUGUUUACCCAGGUUUGGGCCCUCUUGAUGGAGGUAAAACCCUACGUCCUGCUUGAUUGACUUUGGUGAGUAUAGGGAUUACAAGAGUUGAUCUAUCAUGAGAUCAUAAUUGCUAAACCCUAAGCGUCUAGCCUAUCUGAUUAUGACUACCUUUACGGAGUGACCCCUCUAGUUUAUAUAGACACCGGAGGGGGCUAGGGUUUGUACAGAGUCGGUUUACAGAGAAAGGAAUCUUCAUAUCUGAACGCCAAGCUUGCCUUCCACGCCAAGGAGAGUCCCAUCCAGACACGGGGGAAGCCUUCUAUCUUAUAUCUUCAUGGUCCACCAGUCUGACCCAUGUCACAUAGUCCGGACACCCAGGGACCCCCUAAUCCAGGACUCCCUUAGUCACUAAGAUUCAAACUGUUGUGGAGAAGCUUCAAGAGGAUGCUAAGGACAUGGAUGACAGAUGCAUGACAGACACAUUCCAGAGAGUGCCAAGGUCACAAAGAUCAUCAGUUGUGCCAGUUGCUAGAGACUCCAGGACUACCACUUCAGCACCUGCAACCACUUCCAUAAUUAUACCUCCAGUGUCAACUCCUCCAGCUCCACAAACUUCUUCAGAGGCAUUUGUAGAUGCCCUCCUCUCCACGCCGUCUACGCACACCAGAGCAACAAGCCAGAAGACCCCUUCAGGAGCUCCCGGAGAUCGUGCCUAGAGUGUCAUAUAGUACUAUACAUUUUCAAACUUUUUCGUAACUUCUUGCCAAAGGGAGACAAAGGGUAUAGAUCAUAGGCUGAGAGAGAGAGUGCCUCUUUCUUUUUGUUGGUUUCAUUUGCUACUCUUGCUACUUUGAUCGUUUGGUUGUUUGAUUCCUAUGCUACAAUUUGUGCUAUGCUCGCGAGAUACUUAUGUGAUCAUGUUUUUGAUCAUAUUAUGCUUAAUAUGUGCUUGCAUGCUUAUAUCCAUGAAUAUUUGUGUAUGAUCAAUCACGUGUAUCCUUCGUGAUGAGUGCAUGUUAUUUAACUCUUAUCAUUUUAGGCGCUCCACCAGGAUGUAUGUGACAUGGAAGAGUGACCCAUGAUCCUAAUCGAUUGUGCAUUUGCGUUCAAAAGCAAAUUUGAAAUAAUGUAGAAAUUUAGAGGGAGCUCUUACUUAUCACAUACUACUCAAAGGGACAAUGUAUUUCAUUCAUAUUAUCAUUUGUUAAAGCUUUGAUAUAUACAUUGUCAUCAAUUACCAAAAGGGGGGAGAUUGAAAGUGCAACUAAUACCUUAGUGGUUUUGGUAAUUCAUAACAACGUAUAGCUCAUUGAACUAAUAUCCAUUCAAGUUAAAUAUUUCAUAAAGUUCAAUGAUUGGCAUUGUAUGAACUAGAGAUGUGGACCCCUCAAAAUGCUAAGGAUACAUAUUGGCAAAACCUCAAGACUCUUCAUUUAUAUUAGUGAUCCAAGAUCACAUUGGGUCCAUAGGAAAGCCAAUACUAUUAAUAGGGGAUGCGGUGUUGCUUAAUGGUCUACUUGCUCAAAGUGCUUAGUGAUAUUGCUCCAAAGCCCUCAACCACUUUCUCAUUUCCAAAUAUGUCCAAAACUCAAAGCCAAACUCGGCCCCACCGAAAUGUUCUAUCCGGCGCCACUGAGUUCAUUUGACCUAGACACUGCCAGAAACCCUAACACUUCAGUUGCACCGAUACGGAUCUCGGUCUCACCGAGAUGACCUUGAAACUCUCUAUUGCCUAUUGUAAUUACUUCGGUCCACCGAAAUGUGCAAUCGGUCCCAUUGAGUUUGCUUGACCAACUCUCUGUUUUCUCUUUGUUGAAAUCGGUCUCACUGAGUUCAAGAAAUCGACUUCACCGAGAUGAGGUUUUGUCCUAACCCUUGCACAUCGAUUCCACCGAGUUGUUCCAACCGGUCCCACCAAGAUUUCCUAACGUUCACAUUUUGAACUGAAUCGGUCUCACUGAGUUCUUCUAUUCGGUCUGACCGAGUUGGGUCAAAUGUGUGUAACGGUUGGAUUUUGUGUGGAGGCUAUAUAUACCCCUCCCCCCUUCUCCAUUUGUGAGAGAGCCAUCAGAACAUGCCUACGCUUCCAUACUACAUUUUCUAAGAGAGAACCACCUACUCAUGUGUUGAGAUCAAGAUAUUCCGAUCCAACCACAAGAAUCUUGAUUUCUAGCCUUCCCCAAGUUGCCUUCCACUCAAAUCAUCUUUCCAGCAUAUCCAAAUCUGCGAGAGAGAUUUUAGUGUUGGGGAGACUAUCAUUUCAAGCACAAGAGCAAGGAGUUCAUCAUAAACACAACGUCUAUUACCUUUUGGAGAGUGUUGUCUCCUAGAUUGGUUAGGUUUCACUUGGGAGCCUCCGACAAGAUUGCGGAGUUGAACCAAGAUGUUUGUAAGGGCAAGGAGAUCGCCUACUUCAUGAAGAUCUACCCGAGUGAGGAAAGUCCUUCAUGGGCGAUGGUGUACCGCCCAAUAUGCGACUAUACUCCAUACGUGUCGAGGCAUGACUUGGGGCAUAAGUGCAUAUUGGUAUGGUCGCAAGAGUGGUUGUAUCUUUGCUCAUCUCAUGUACUAAAUAGAUAGAAUACGAGCUUUGGCUUACAAUCGCCACAAUGUCACACAAUAACAUCAAGUUAUACAAUCACUCAAGAUGAAUACAAAGUCCGACUACAGACAAAAUCAAACGAAUCAAAUACAACCACCCAAGCUAAGUCCCGAUCAUCCCUACUGGGCACCACUACUAAUCAUCCAGAAAGGAAACAUAGUAACGGACAAGGUCUUCGUCGAACUCCCACUUGAGCUCGGUGGCAUCACCUGCAUCAGUGUCAUCGACACCUCCAACUGUGUUUGUAGUAUACUGUGAGCCACGAGGGCUCAGCAAUUCUAUUACCCAAGGUGUUAAGACUAUCAAAGCUUAAAGGUAAGGUAUGGAUAUAAGGUGGAGUUGUAGCAAGCACUAAGCAUUAUAUGGUGGCUAGCUUACAUAUACAAGAAUAAGAUGAGAAACUAUGCAACGAUCGUAAUCUCGUAAUGAUCCUGAACUACUUAUGUUCAAACAUAACCCCACCGUGUUCUCUUCCCGAACCUCAUCGAAAAGAGACCAUCACGGUUACGCACGCGGCUGGUAUAUUUUAAAGAGUUUGGUUUCAAGUUCACUACAACUGGAUAUUAAAAACUCCCAUCUGCCACAUAGCCGCGGGCACGGCUCUCGAAAGUUUAAACCCUGCAGGGGUGUCCCAACUUAGCCCAUGACAAGCUCACGAUCCACGGAGACAAUACACCAUCUCGGGGCCCUCCGAUCAGACUCAGAAUCCCGGUGCACAAGACAUUUCGACAAUGGUAAAACAAAACCAGAAGACCUCCCGACGUGCCAACACCCUAAUAGUAGCCGCGCGUAUCUCGUCUCAGGCCACAAUCGGAUUGUCCAAACUUUUCGUAGGCCAAUCCAGAGUUGCCCCUAGCGGCCACCGGCGGUUGACAGGUCGGACCAACACUCAUGAGGAGCACUGGCCCGAGUUGUUGAUUAAAAAUCCUCGGGUUAAUUACUCCCUAUGUAAAUUUUAGUUGUUAUUAGGCAAAUGGUAAAAUCAAGGUUGGCCUUGCUGCAAGAGUUUUGUUCAAAGCGAAGUAUCAAGAGAGGCCCAUAAACCCUCAACAUGUUAGGGACGCAAAAUCAAGGAACAUAACACCGGUAUGAUGGGAACUAAGGCGGCAAGAGUGGAACAAAACAUCGAGAAAAAGGCCAAGCCUUCCACCCUUUACCAAGUAUAUAGAUGCAUUAAUUAAAUAUGAGAUAUUGUUAUAUCCCAACAUAUCCAUGUUCCAACAUGGAACAACCUGCACUGCACCUGCAACUAGCAACGGUAUAAGAGGGCUGAGCAAAAAGCGGUAACAUAGCAAAACAACGGUUUUCUAGGAUGGUGGGUUAGAGGCUUAAUAUGGCAAUAUGGGAGGCUUGAUAAACAAGUGGUAGGUAGCGGGACAUAGCGAUAGAACGAACAACUAGCAAGCAAAGAUAGAAGUGAUAUCGGGGGUAAUGAUCAUCUUGCCUGCAAUGUUUUCAGAGGUAUCGAAUCCUUGCUCCUCGUGAACGUACUCGACAGGGUCCUCGAAUGCGAACUCAUCUCCCGGCUCUACCCAAAGCAAGAACACAAGCAAUGGAACAACAAUCAAUCACGGUGCAAUGCGCAAGCAACAUGAGGCAAGACAUGGCAUGGAAUGCAAGAUAUGAUGUGCAAUGCAUAUGGGUACUCCGGGAGGGGAAAGAUGAUCAUGGCAUUAACUUGGCAAACCAAGCACGACACUGGAUAGAUUGAGAGAUUUCGGUUGAAAACGAUAUGAAGAUCACCGGAAACGGAUGCAUGGUUUCCAACAGACAAGCAAAACAAGAUACAAUGCAAUCUGCUUAACACAACAACAUGGCCACUUAGAUGCAAGGUUUAAAUAUGCUACAACACCCAAGCAUGAAAACAAAAGACAUGCCAAUGAAGUACAAGUGAAUCUCUACAAAUCAUGCACACUGAGCUACUGCUAGAACUCACUAGAACAUGUUUAAAACAACAUGGCAAAAAUGCAAAUGACAACAGUUUACAGUCUUAGCAGUUUUUCACUGAUCUUGACAGAAACAGCAUCAGGUUGCAAUGUUUAUGCCUAGUAAACUAUAUGCUACAGGAACAUAUCAUGGAAAACUUGAGCAUGGAAUGCUAGUACUAAAAGCAAUUAACAAAACUCCCUUACUAAACUUGUUCCAAAGAUCCACAAAAAAGAUGAUAGCAUCAAUGCAAACAUGGCAAGUGAUAUCAACAGAUUUCAGACUUAGUAGAAUUACGUGGCAUGGUAGAAACAGGUUCAUGUAGGCAUGUUUGUGAGCUUGUGCAACUUACCACACAACAUUUCAUGGCAUAUGGAAGCAAUCAACAGAAACAAGACAUAAUUAUGCAGCUACUCAUGGCAAGAACAUGCUCAUAGGAAGCAUAGAUCAACAACUAUUCAGAUGGCAAAAAUGAACUUGCUGGUAAUAGACUGACAACAACAUAAGUUAGCAAAUUGAGACCAUGGUGAUGACAAGCUACAUUACCCAAUAAUUGCAAACAAGAGAAUGGAUGGAUGGAGCAUAACAAUAUCUACAAAACGUCCUUACUGAGCAUCGCCAAAAAUGCACGGAUUCACUUGUAGCAUCAAGUUAACAUGGCAACAUAAUGUAGCAGGUUCAGACUUAGCAGAAAACACUAAGUCACUCAAAUCAGCAACAACAAGUAUCCUACUUUGCAUGCUUGUGCUAGUCACCACAGGGCAUAUAAAAAUACGUGGAUCGCACCACUGUAAAGAUGGCAUGAAUAUGCUCCUAAAACAUGUUGACAUGAUGCUCAAAAGAUAAACACACAAAAUGCUAUGAAAAUGACAAAUCAACAAGUUAUGAUAGUCUCCAGCAGACAACAUUAUUUAGCACUUCUGCAAUGAUGAUUAAGGCAACAAGUUAAAUAGUAACAUGCAUGAAAACAAUACCAUCAUCUAGAGCACUCAGAGAUGACUAAUUUGACAUAUUAUACACACAAAACGGAGCAACACACACAAAGAUAUCAUCUCUCAUACAUGCACACAUGACAUGGAUUUUCUGGGGACUUGGUGAAAAAAAAACCUCGUGGAAAAUUGGAUCUCGGGGUUCCGAGACGGUGACGUGUGGGCUCUUGUUUUGAUCGGGGUUCAGGGCAGCGUCGGGAUGGAGGCGUGCAGAUCAGGGAGGAGGAGCUAGCCGGAGUUGGUCGCCGGAGGUUGGGGAAGGCCGGGCGGCGUGAGAUCCGGCCGGAUCUCGCCGGAUCUGGCGCCGACGGAGGCGCAAGGCGGCACUUCUACAAAGCGGUGCGAGGAUGCAGAGGCUCGGUGCUGAGGGGCGACUCGGCGGCGGUGGCGCGGUGCGGAGGUGGCGGGUGACGGCGGGCGACGGAGAGGGGCGCCGGUGAGGGCGCUGCAGCGGCGGGAGGCGGCUCGGGCGGCCACGCGGGCCUAGGCGGGCCGCGCCAGCGGGGAAGGUGCGGUGGAUACGUGGCGGACACUGGUUGGCUCGGGCAGCGGUGGCGAGACGCGUCUGGCGGCGCGAGAAGGAGGGUGCUAGGGGUUUCCUGACAUUUUUGGAGUGGGAGGUGUUUAUAUAGGUAGAGUGGGCUAGGAGAGGGCUAUUGAGGUGUGGUUUUUUCCCACACGAUCGCGAUCCAAAGGCGAAGAGCAUGAGGGUGGUUUAGAUGGGCUAGUGGGCUGUUGUGGAGGGGUGCUGGGCUGCGAAGAGAGACAGGUUUCGGCGGUUACACAGUUAACCAUUGGGGCAUCAAACAACCUCUAAAUGGGACAAAAUUUGACAGGCGGCCUACCAAUGAUGUACCAAGGCCACUCGAAAAACCUUAUCCCAUUCUGGGAAUGUUUUUCUGCCGCUCACGAAACGAGAUCUGAGAGGUGCAACGGGUGCAUGUGUGAGUGUAGGAUUCCAAAACAGACAACGGGGAAAAUGACCGGAUGCAAGUGACGAACACGAAUGCAAGUGAGAUGCACAUGAUGACAUGAUAUGAAAUGCAUGACAUGAACAAAAUGCAAAAUGAGGACAAAACCCAAACCACGGAGGAUAUAACACAUAACAUUACCGGUAAUGGCAAGAGUUGGAAGUACAAAUAUGGAAUGUUACAUCCGGGACGUUACAACUCUCCACCACUACAAGUGGAUCUCGUCUCGAGAUCUAGGACGGAAAGAACUCCGGAUAUUCAGAAUGGAGGUGAUCCUCGCGCUCCCAAGUAGCUUCUUGGCCGGACUGGUGAGUCCACUUAACUUUGAGGAAUUUGAUUGAGUUGUUGCGAGUUUUGUGCUCGGUUUCUUCCAGAAUGGCAACGGGAUGCUCAUGAUAAGACAAGUCUUCUUGGAGGUCAAUCUAUUUGAAGUUGAUAGUGCGCUCGAGCGUCUUGAAGCACUUGCAAAGUUGUGACACAUGAAACACGUCACACACAUUUGAGAAGUUGGAUGGGAGCUCAAGUUGAUAAGAAAGGUCGCCUCUUUUUCCAAUGAUCUUGAAAGGACCCACAUAUCUAGGGGCAAGCUUCCCUUUGAUGCCGAAGUGUUGAGUGCCUUUCAUUGGAGAGACACUGAGAUAGACAUGGUAUCCAAUCUCAAAAGUCAUGUCAUGGUGCUUGCUAUCAUAGUAACUCUUUUGGCGCAAUUCCGUGGCUUUGAGAUUUUCACGGAUGACUUUACACAUUUCUUCAGCUUCUAUAAUCAAGUCGUUGCUAAGAAGUUGGGGUUCACCAGUCUCGGACGAAUUGAGAGGAGUACGACACUUUCUGCCAUAUAGGAUUUCGAAUGGGGCCUUGCCCGAACUUGCUUGGAAGCUGUUGUUGUAGGAGAACUCGGCAUAUGGGAGGCAAUCUUCCCACUUCAUAUUGAAAGAUAUGACACCAGCUCUGAGCAUGUCUUCGUGGAUUUGAUUGACUCUCUCGACUUGGCCACUUGUUUGAGGAUGAAAAGCCGUGCUGAAAUGAAUGUUUGUGCCCAUGGCCUUCUAGAAGGAGUCCCAGAACUUGGAAGUGAAGAUGCUUCGACGAUCUGAAGAGAUCGAUUGAGGAAUCCCAUGCAACGAGACUAUUCUAGCGGUGUAUAGCUCUGCCAACUUUGUUGCAUUGUUAGAUUCUUUGACCGGAAGGAAAUGAGACACUUUUGUAAGCUUCAAUGACAACGAAGAUAGCAUCAUUCCCUUGCUUGGACUUGGGAAAGCCAGUGACAAAGUCCAUUUCAAUAUGAUCAAAGUUCCAGUCUGUAAUAGCAAGAGGUUGGAGGAGACCAAAUGGACGUUGAUGUUCUGCUUUCACCCUUCGACGGACAUCACAUUCAUUCAUGAAUUGAGCAAUCUCUCGCUUCAUGCGAGUCCACCAAUACGACUACUUGAGGUCAUGCUACUACAUCUUCGAGUUGCCUAGGUGGAUGGAAAGAAGAGAAUUGUGCACUUUGUUCAUCGUGACCUUCCUUAGAUCACCUUUUGGAACCACAAUCAGGUCCUCGAAAGAUAAGGCGUACUUGUCAUCAAUGCGAUGGCACUUGUAUUUGGGAAGGCCCUUGGCAACACCAUGUUUCACCUUCUUCACCAUGGUAUCAAGGAGUUGUGCUUCAUGAAUUUGAUCUUCCAAAGUUGGAGCGACUUGAAGGUUGGCAUGAAAACGUUGAGGAACAAAUUGGAGGUUGAUCUUUCGGAAUGCUUCACAAAGAUCAGGUUGGAAUGGCUUGAGAAUUAAGCUGCUGCAAUAUGCCUUUCUGCUCAACGCAUCUGCAAUCACAUUAGCCUUGCCUGGAGUGUAUUCAAUGCUUGGAUUGUACUCUCGAAUCAUUUCGACCUAACAAGUUUGCCGGAGGUUGAGGUUGGGUUGAAUGAAUAUAUAUUUGAGGCUCUUGUGAUCGGUGAAAAUUUCCACUUGCCUACCCAACAAAAGAUGUUUCCCAGUGAUUAAUGCAUGGAUAACUGCCGCCAACUCAAGAUCGUGAGUGGGAUAGUUCCUCUCAUUUGGCUUCAACUGACGUGAAGUGUAAGCCACAACUUUCUUCUCUUGCAUUAAGACUGCACCGGGAGCUUGCAAUUAGGCAUCAUAGAAAACUUGGUAGGGCUUGGACUCAUCUGGGGGAGUAAGGAUAGGAGCUGUGACGAGUUUCUCUUUGAGAGUAAUGAAGGCAAUGUCACACUUAGGAGUCCAGGAGUACUUGACAUGCUUCUGGAGGAGAUUGGAAAGAUGAUUAGAAAUUUUCGAGAAGUUUUCCACAAACCUUCUACAAUAGCUUGCAAGCCCAAGGAAACUGUGGAGCUGCUUGACAUUCUGAGGAGGCUUCCAGUUGACAAUUGUAGAAACCUUCUCCAGAUUAAUAGAAAUGCCAUUGGUGGAGAUGAUGUGACCAAGGUAAAGAACUUCAUCAAGCCAAAACUGACAUUUGGAGAGAUUUGUGUAGAAUUGAUACUCUCUGAUCUUGUCGAGCACCAAUCACAAAUGCUUGGCAUGAUGCUUUUUAUUCUUGGAGAAAACCAGGAUAUCGUCGAGAUACACUCGGACGAAUUCAUUUGUGUAGGGGUUGAAGAUGAAGUUCAUCAUACGAGAGAAUGUUGGAGGGGCAUUUGCAAGCCCGAAAGACAUGACAAUGUAUUCAUAAGAACCAAAGCUCGUUCUGAAUGUUGUCUUUGGGAUAGCUUUUUCACGAAUGCGAAUCUGGUGAUACCCGAUACGGAGGUCAAGCUUGGAAAACACCUUUGCACCUUUGAGUUGCAUGAAUAACUCGUUGAUAUUGGGAAGUGGGUAUUUGUUCUUGAUUAUCUUCUUGUUCAAUGGGCAGUAAUCGACGCAAAGUCAUUUCGUGCCAUCCUUCUUUUGGACAAAGAGAACAGCACAUCCCCGAGGAGAUGAACUUGGUCUGAUCAGACCCAAACAUUCCUGUUCAUCGAGUUGUUUCUUCAAUUCUUUCAGCUCUUUUGGCCCAAGCUUGUAUGGGUGCUUGCAAAUGGGUUCUAUACCAGGCUCAAGAUCAAUAACGAACUCGACUGGUCGGUGAGGAGGCAUACCCGGAAGCUCUUCAAGAAAGACAUCCUGAUACUCACAAGCAACUGGAAUCUGGGAAAUAGCGUCGAUCUUGCCUUUCUCAUUGAAAGAGAACAACCGAAUGGUUUCAUCACGAGGCAAAGAUGAUCACAUCUUUAGAAGGAUGCGUCAAUUUAAUCUCCUUGGCAGCACAAUCAAGAAAGGCGUUGUGCUUAGAAAGCCAAUCGGUGCCAAGAAUGAGAUCAAUAUCGGAAGCGCCGAGUACAUUUGGGGAAGCCAGAAAUUUAUAAUUUCCCAUCUUGAUACCGACAUUCGGAAUAAAGCUGCUUGAGUUCAUCACUUUAUCCGGAGAAACAACAGACAAUGGCCUAGCCAAAUCUUGAAAAACGAAUUCAUGCUUUCAUGCAAAAGGUCUUGAAAUGAAAGAAAGCGGUGCACCAGAAUCAAGCAACACUUUGGGAAGAAUAGUGUUAACUGAGAGGUUACCCACGAUCACAUCUGAAGAAUACUCUGCUUGAGCUGCAUUUAACAUGUUCACCUUUGCAAACUUUGGAUUUUCCUUGACAACUGCAUUGCUUGAAGACCUCAAAGAAGGAGGAGCCAGAAGGCGCCUUUGAGUGCACUUGUUGGAAUGGUGACCUUUGAUACCACACUUGUGACAAGUGACCUCUGAAAGCGUACGGAAAGGUGGAGGAGGAGGACCACCUGUCCUCGGAGCCUAAGACUGAGACUUGUUCUGAUUGCUUGGGCUGGGUGGGUGGGAAGAUCCACGACCACCCGUGUGCUUCUGCUGGUAGGGCUGGCAAAAUGGAGGAGGUGGAGGAAGACAGAACUUUUGUUGCUUAGCUGCCACUUGAGAGGAAGAGGAAGACUGGACUGCAUCCUUGAGUCUCUUCUUAGAAGCCUAACACUUGAGUUGGGCAGCUUCUUGCUUGAGCGCCAUGUUAUAGAACUGAUCGAACUGAGUAGGCUCAACAAGAACGAGAGCUAACUGCACAUCCUCUCUGAGGCCACUCGUGAAGUGAUAGAUCAUGCUAUUUUCAUCAGGAACGUCUUGCCUUGCAAAGCGAGCAAGAUUCUGAAACUUGACAUUGUAUUGAUAAACGGACAUGCUUGAUUGCUUAAGAUUGCGGAAUUCCUCAUGCUUGCUCUCGCCAAUACUUGUUGGAAUGUGAUGAGCUCAAAAGUUCUGGCAGAAGUCUGUCCAGGUAAUCACUAGACCCCCUCUAGAGUCUUUGUACUGCUGAUACCAAUUUGCUACUUGGUCCUUGAGUUGAAAAGAAGCGAAUUUGACGUAGUCCUCAGGCCUGACGUUGCUGCAUUCAAAAUGCUUGUUGAUGUCCACAAGCCAAUCAUCAGUGUCCAUGGCCUCAACACAAGCGUUGAAAGACUUUGGCUGAUUUGCAAGAAACUGGUUGAGGGUAGCAAACUGAGGCUGAUUGUUGUUGCCUUGGCCUUGGUUGCCUUGUCCUUGAUUCCGCUCUUGCAUGAGUUGAAUUGACAUCUGAGUGUUGGCGUUGGUGGCCGUAAUCAAAUCUUUCCAUGCCUCCAGAGUCAGAGGAGGUGGCGGAGAGUUGGACUACUCUCGAUCUGUACGUUCCGGAUGCAGACGUGUCGGGGAAGCCAUCCUAAAGAAGGUGGCUUCCGUUAGAACCAUGAUAGACAAGAUGAAUCAACAGAUAGACAUGUGCAAAGAAGACUUCAUAAUAAACAUCUGAACGUAGAUUGAACGAAUGCAUUUGAAAGUUAACAUUACAUGACCAUUAGGGUGAGAAGCCACUUAGGCAAAGGUUUGUGAAUGAAACAACAAGGUAUGACUGGAACAAACAAAUGGUAAGGAUAUCCCAAUCCCAUACCGAUUAUAUGUCAGAAGAAUAACUAAGAGCUACUUGAAUUCCCACCUAUUAACUCUUGCAACUUUCUGGUUAUGCAAUCUCGUGUUGGGGAUACAGGGAGGCACAAUAUAUCUCAAACAACUAACAAGCCCUACGCUCCAUUGUAUCCAUCCGUCAACACAUAACCAAGAAAACUCCGGAAAUCGUGUACCUUGACCUUCGAAAAGCAUCCGCUAUACUAGAUGCGACAAUACUCCCGAACUCCCUCCCCAGUACUGGGUGACGUCGAUGUUAUCUCACCACUAACUGCAUAGAAGAUAUUUUCAAGGUCGGCGAGCUCAGGCUUACCGGAACUUGCAACGAUAAAAUUGUGAUGACAACACCCCAGAGCUCAACUUCCCGGGACACUGCCACAACCCCUAAAUGUAAGGAGGCGCCAAGAACGAUGUUCUCGUCACAAUAAUAUUGGAACAAUCCCAAGAUACCCGCGUGAUCCUAAUUUUUUUAGUGAAAAUGAGGAGAGGGAAGUCAAAACAUCUAUGCCAGGAAUCCUUACGAGAGAGACAAAGGGCAUGAGGAGUAAAAAGAAUCCUACUCUCCGAUAUAUAUAAUCCUAAGACUCAAAAUAGUUUUGUUCUGGACUCAACAACGUCAGCAAUUUGAUCAAGCAGGGGCUCCUAAGUCGGGCUGUCUUUGAUACCAACUUGUAAUGCCCAAUAUGCGACUAUACUCCAUAUGUGUCGAGGCACGACUUGGGGCAUAAACGCAUAUUGGUAUGGUCGAAAGAGUGAUUGUAUCUUUGCUCAUCUCAUGUACUGAAUAGAUAGAAUAUGAGAUUUGGCUUACACUCGCCACAAUGUCACACAAUAAGAUCAAGUUAUACAAUCACUCAAGAUGAACACAAAGCCCGACUACAGACGAAAUCAAACGAAUAAAAGACAACCACCCAAGAUAAGUCCCGGUCGUCCCUACUAGGCACCACUACUAAUCAUCCAGAAAGGAAACAUAGUAACAUGCAAGGUCUUCGUCGAACUCCCACUUGAGCUCGGUGGCAUCACCCGCAUCAGUCUCAUUGGCACCUGCAACUAUGUUUGUACUACACUGUGAGCCAUGGGGACUCAACAAUUCUAUUACCCACGAUGUCAAGACUAUCGAAGCUUAAAGGUAAGGUAUGGAUAUAAGGUGGAGUUGCAGCAAGCACUAAGUAUUGUAUGGUGGCUAGGUUACGUAUACAUGAAUAAGAUGAGAAACUACGCAACGGUCGUAAUCUAGUAAUGAUCAAGAAGUGAUCCUGAACUACUAACGUUCAAACAUAUCCCCACCGUGUUCUCUUCCCGAACCUCAUCGAAAAGAGACCAUCACGGUUAUGCACGCGGUUGGUGUAUUUUAAAUAGUUUGGUUUCAAGUUCACUACAACCGGAUAUUAAAAACUCCCAUCUGCCACAUAACCGCGGGCAUGGCUCUCGAAAGUUUAAACCCUGCAGGGGUGUCCCAACUUAGCCCAUGACAAGCGCACGAUCCGUGGAGACAAUCCUCCAUCUCGGGACCCUCCGACCAGACUCAGAAUCCUGGUGCACAAGACAUUUCUACAAUGGUAAAACAAAACCAGAAGACUUCCCGAUGUGCCAACACCGUAAUAGUAGCCACGCGUAUCUUGUCUCAGGACACAAUCGGAUUGUUCAAACUUCCAGUUGGCCAAUCCAGAGUUGCCCCUGGCGGCCACCGGUGGUUGAUAGGUUGGACCAACACUCACGAGGAGCACGAGCAACAGUUUUGUUCAAAUCGAACUGUCAAUAGAGGCCCAUAAACCCUCAACAUGUUAGGGACGCAAAAUCAAGGAAUAUAACACCGGUAUGACGGGAACUAAGGCGGAAAGAGUGGAACAAAACAUCAAGAAAAAGGACAAUCCUUCCACCCUUUACCAAGUGUAUAGAUGCAUUAAUUAAAUAAGAGAUAUUGUGAUAUCCCAACAUAUCCAUGUUCCAACGUGGAACAACCUGCGUUGCACCUGCAACUAGCAACAAUAUAAGAGGGGCUGAGCAAAAAGCGGUAAGAUAGCAAAACAAUGGUUUGCUAGGAAGGUGGGUUAGACGCUUGACAUGGCAGUAUGGGAGGCUUGAUAAACAAGUGGUAGGUAGCACGACAUAGCGAUUGAACAAACAACUAGCAAGCAAAGAUAGAAGUGAUAUCGGGGGUAAUGAUCAUGUUGCCUGUAAUGUUUUCAGAGGUAUCGAAUCCUUGCUCCCCAUGAACGUACUCGACAGGGUCCUCGAAAGUGAACUCGUCUCCCGGCUCUACCCAAAGCAAGAACACAAGCAACGAAACAACAAUCUAUCACGGUGCAAUGCACAAGCAACAUGAGGCAAGACAUGGCAUGGAAUGCAAGAUAUGAUGUGCAAUGCAUAUGGGUACUCCGGGAGGGGAAAGAUGAUCAUGGCAUUAACUUGGCAAACCAAGCACGACACUGGAUAGAUUGAGAGAUUUCGGUUGAAAACGAUAUGAAGAUCACCGGAAACGGAUGCAUGGUUUCCAACAGACGAGCAAAACAAGAUACAAUGCAAUCUGCUUAACACAACAACAUGGCCACUUAGAUGCAAGGUUUAAAUAUGCUACAACACCCAAGCAUGAAAACAAAAGACAUAUCAGUGAAGUACAAGUGAAGCUCUACAAAUCAUGCACACUGAGCUACUGCUAGAACUCACUAGAACAUGUUUAAAACAGCAUGGCAAAAAUGCAAAUGACAGCAGUUUACAGACUUAGCAGUUUUUCACUAACCUUGACAGAAACAACAUCAAGUUGCAAUGUUUAUUCCUAGUAAACUAUAUGCUACAGGAACAUAUCAUGAUAAACUUGUGCAUGGCAUGCUAGCACUAAAAGCAAUUAACAAAACCCCCUUACUGAACUUGUUCCAAAGAUCCCCAUAAAAGAUGAUAGCAUCAAUGCAAACAUGGCAAGUGAUAUCAACAGAUUUCAGACUUUGUAGAAUUACAUGGCAUGGUAGAAACAAAUUCAUGUAGGCAUGUUUGCGAGCUUGUGCAACUCACCACAAAGAAUUUCAUGGCAUAUGGAUGCAACCAACAACAAGAAGACAUAAUUAUGGAGCUACUCAUGGCAAGAACAUUCUCAUAGGAUACAUAGAUCACCAGCUAUUCACAUGGCAAAAAUGAACUUACAGUUAACAGACUGACAGCAACAUAAGUUAGCAAAUGGAGAGCAUGCUGAUGACAAGCUACAUUAUCCAAUAAUUGCAACAAGGGCAUGGAUGGAUAGAGCAUACCAAUAUCUACAAAACAUCCUUACUAAGCAUGACCAAAAAAUGCAUGGAGUCACUUGUAGCAUCAAGUUAACAUGGCAAGAUAAUGUAGCAGGUUCAGACUUAGCAGAAAACACUAACUCACUCAAAUCAGCAACAACAAGUAUCCUACUUUGCAUGCUUGUGCUAGUCACCACAGGGCAUAUAAAAAUACGUGGAUCGCACCACUGUAAAGAUGGCAUGAAUAUGCUCCUAAAACAUGCUGACAUGAUGCUCAAAAGAUAAACACACAAAAUGCUAUGAAAAUGACAAAUCAACAAGUUAUGAUAGUUUCCAGCAGACAACAUUAUUUAGCACUUCUGCAACGAUGAUUAAGGCAACAAGUUAAAUAGUAACAUGCAUGCAAAGUAUACCAUCAUCUAGAGCACUCAGAGAUGAACAAUUUGACGUAAUAUACACACAAAAUGGAGCAACAUGCACAAAGAUAUCAUCAAUCAAACAUGCACACAUGUCAAGGAUUUUCUGGGGACUUAGUGAAAAAAACAACCUCGCGGAAAACUGGAUCUCGGGGUUCCGGGACGGUGACGUGCGGGCUCCUGUUUGGAUCGGGGUUUGAGGCAGCGUCGGGAUGGAGGCGUGUAGAUCGGAGAGGAGGAGGUGGCUGUAGUUGGUCACCGGAGGUCGGGGAAGGCUGGGCGGCGCAAGAUCCAGACAGAUCUCGCCGGAUCCGGCGCUGGCGGCGGCGCGAGGAGGCGCUCCGGUGAAGCGACGCAGGGACGGCGAGGCGCAGCGUUGAGGGGUGACUUGGCGGCGGCGUCGUGGCGCCGAGGUGGCGGGCGACGGUGGGCGGCGGAGAGGGGCGCUGGCGAGGGCGCUGCGGCGGCUGGCGAUGGAGAGCCGGAGUGGCGCGGGAGGCGGCUCGGUCGGCUGUGUGGGCCUGUGCGUGUCGCGCCUGGGCCUGGCAGGCCGCGGUGGCGGGGAAGGCGUGGUGGACAGGUGGCGGACGGUGGUCGGCUCGGGCGGCGGUGGCUGGACGCGUCCGGCGGCGCGGUGGACGUGUUCGGCGGUGCGAGGAGGAUGGUGCUAGGGUUUUCCCGAGAAUUUUGGAGGAGGAGGUGUUUAUAUGGGUAGAAGGAGCUAGGAGAGGGCUAUUGAUACGUCUCCAUCGUAUCUACUUUUCCAAACAUUUUUGACCUUGUUUUGGACUCUAACUUGCAUGAUUUGAAUGGAACUAACCCGGACUAACGCUGUUUUCCGCAAAAUUACCAUGGUGUUAUUUCUUGUAGCGACCAGACCUCAAACAGUCUGAUCUCUAUGCUCCGGUGUCAUCCCUGGAUCAGUAAUGCUGACACCACACAGUACUCGGAGGAUUUAUAGCAGAGUAGCAAUCACACACUUAUUACAUCGAGUGUCUCAAAAGAGAACUUAUUACAAUAAAUAUGGCUUAAGGCCAUCUAAUAACGAUAACAACGGAAGGCUUGGAAGAUAAGUGAGUCCAUCAACUCCAACGGCAUCACUGAGUAUAGAACCACGACCUAAAACUCCUUAAUCGUCGUCUAAAAAGUCUGCAACAUUAACAUUGCAGCCCGAAACGGGUCAGCACAUGGAAUAUGCUGGCAAUGUAACACAUAGAGAGUAAUGGAAUGAAAUAGCUAUACUAUAUGCAUAUUUGGCUGGUGGAAAGCUCUAUGGUUACAGUUUUGCGUAAAGCCAAUUUUUCCCUACUUCAAAGGAAUAAAAUUUAUUUAACAAUCAUGGUAGUUGUUAAACAUUGAGAAUGGUUGACAACAUUCUCAAUCCCAAUUAAGCAUCAUCAUUAAACAUAAACCAACAAAAUUAAUUUAGAGUAACAUGUUGAGAUUCACAUGAUAAUUCAGGUACUAGAUACUCAAGAUGUCCAUAACCAGGGACACGGCUAACCAUGAUUAGUUUAUUACACUCUGCAGAGGUUUGCGCACUUUUCCCCACAAGACUCAAUCGCCUCCGUUGGGUUUCUCGCACUACAGGGUGUUUGAGAAGACAGAUGACCGAGACAUAGUCUUUCUGAAGCGCUAGCACCUUACGAUUGGGUAGACCAUACCACCUACAUCCCCUACAUCUGCUAGUCUACCACUAUAAGAGUUCGCACGACUUAGUCAACUAUGCUAGAGCCCAUAAUAGCUUGUGGCUGCACACGGAAGUUUCUAGUAUGAAUAGUCUCAUGAUCCCUUUGAGCCUGGGUGGCGGUCCAAAAGAAAACAGGCAAGUCCUGGAAUACCCAAGUGCCUCAAUCCACCCAGAUGUGUGUUUAAGUUGCCACCUUAGAUAACCAUUAAUUAACAAAACUCACAUCUGUCAUGGAUAUCACUCACCCAAUCCACGUCUACUAGCAUAGCAUGGCAUAAUAAGCAAACGUAGAAGUAACUCCCAAGGUUUGAUAAUAAACAGGUAAUAGGUACUACCUCAUCUACUUCCCAUCCCACAAUUUAAUUAGAUCCUAACCAUGCAAUGUGUGAGGGUUGAUCUAAUGCAAUAAAACUGGGUAGUAGAAAAGGUAUGAUCAAAGUGUUACUUGCCUUGCUGAUGAUCCAGGAAACCUAGCGAUUCAAAGUAACAAGCAGCGCACUACGGGUAUUCUAUUGCAGACAAACAAACAAGCACACAAUAAGUACUCACCUAAUGCACAGGUAAAACUCAAAUAAGAGAUCUAAACAGAAGGUUCAACUCAAGAACUCCGGUUGGCAAAAGAAUCAAAUCAAACGAAGCAACGAAAGUCAAACGGCGAAAGAAAACAACUUCGUUCUACUAAUAUGGAUCUAGGGUAAAUUUUUACAGUAGCAAAAUCUUGUUUAAGUUGGUUAAAUGGAUAGAGGGUUUCGAGACGAAACUCUAGGCGCUUGAAUCACCUGAUUCCGAUAAACGAGCGAAAAGUUAUACUAAAAAGAAAAUCGGAUCAGGAAUCGCGAUCAGAAAAAUCGCGGAUUUAAUCCGAGAAAAGAAAAACGACGAACGCUCGCUAAAUUAAAUAAACUAGAAAAACCGAUCUAUUAAAAAAACGAUUAUAAAAAAGAACCGACGGAAAAACCGAAUGGUUUUUCGAAAAAAAAACCCGGCGCGGAUUUCGAGGUGGCGGUGGACCUCGGGCGGUGGACCUCCCCCCCGGCUUAAAUAGCCUAACGGGCCGGGAGUCCUAGUCAGACACGGCCCUAGGUCGGUUCGAUUUUUUUUAAAAUAAUUACGCGCAGAAGAAAAAUGAAAAGUAAUACUAAGCUGACUCCAAAAAUUCCGAAAUAAAUUUUCGCGGGCUUCUAAAAUCAAGCCGCACAAGGUGAACAUUUAUUUGGGACCUAAAUGCAAUUUUGAAAAACACACAUUUUUCCUAAAUUCAAAUAAAACACCGAAAAACUUCGAAAUAAAAUCCUAUUUGAUUUUAUUAUUAAAUCCUCAAUAUUUCUUUAUUUUGGGAAAGUCAUUUUAUUCCCUCUCUCAUAUUUUUGUAAUAGAAAUAAUUGAUGAUAAAAUAAAUAAAAUCAAAUGAUCCUAUUCUCAAAAUUUGAGAAAACUCAAAUAUGAAAAUAACGAAAUCCCCAACUCUCUCCGUGGGUCAUUGAGUUGCGUAGAAUUGUCGUGACUUCUCACGACUAUCUCAUAGUCCAAGUCACCACAUUCUUGUUAUCACAUUAAUUUACUUAAUUAUUUCAGGUUUAUCCUCCAUUUCGACCAAGACCUUAUAGUGUGACCUACUACAAACUGUGUUGCUAUCGAUUGACUUUAUAAACACUCUGCAGAGGUAGCUCACUGUACACACACCACGGAACCCAUGGCCUCGCACUCCCAUUUGGGUGGACCAACGGUGUUCCGACGAAACCGACCUACUGCCAUGACACUCUCUCGGCCACUCCGACUCACUCCCCACUGGGCUAGUGUAACACCCUCGAUGUGACUAUAUCUCCCACGUGUCGAGGCACGACUUAGAGGCAUAAUCGCAUUGAAGGCAUUUGUCGCAAGUUAGGCAAUCUUCACAACAUCCCAUGUAAUAUAGAUAAUAAAAGGGGAGAUAACAUAGUUGGCUUACACUUGCCACGUCAAUCAAGUACAUAAGUAACAUUACAUCAUCCAAACACUCAUGGCCCGACUACGGCGCCAAAAUAAAAGAGAACCCAACAUGCGACACGGUCCCGAUCACCCCCAACUGGGCACCACUACUGAUCAUCAGGAAAAGAAACAUAGUAUCAUUGAGAGUCCUCGUCGAACUCCCACUUGAGCUCAAACGCGUCACCUGGAGCGGAAUCAUCAGGCCCUGCAUCUGGUGUAAUAGUAAUAUGUGAGCCAUAGGGACUCAGCAAUCUCGCACCCUCGCGAUCAAGACUAUUUAAGCUUAUAGGUAAGGCAAGGUAAAAUAUGUGGAGCUGCAGCAAGCGACUAGCAAAUAUGGUGGCUAACUUAUUCGCACAAGAGAGCGAGAAGAGGAGGCAAAGGGCGAGCGAGAAACUAGAGUGCAACAUGUGCAAACAUUACUCCAACACCGUGUCCACUUCCCGAACUUCGCCGAGAAGAGGCCAUCACGGUAACACACUCAGUUGAUUCAUUUUAAUUAAGUUAAGGUUCAAGUUAUCUACAACCGGACAUUAACAAAUUCCCAUCUGCCCAUAACUGCAGGCACGGCUUUCGAAAGUUCAAAUCCCUGCAGGGGAGUCCCAACUUAGCCCAUGACAAGCUCUCACGGUCAAUGAAGGAAUAGACCUCCUCCCAAGACGUUCCGAUCAGACUCGGUAUCUCGGUUCUUCAAGACACUUCGACAGGUUAAAACAAGACCAGCAACACCGCCCGAAUGUGCCGACAAAUCCCGAUAGGAGCUGCACAUAUCUCUUUCUUAGGGCACACUCAGAUUGUCUUAGGUACAGGUAGGCCAGCCCAGAGUUGCCCCUGGUGGCCACCGGCAGCUGACAGGUGGACCAACACUCAGAGGAGCACUGGCCCGGGGGGGGGGGUUAAAAUAAGAUGACCCUCGGGCUCCGGAAACCUAAGGGAAAAAGAGGCUAGGUGGCAAAUGGUAAAACCAAGGUUGGGCAUUGCUGGAAAAGCUUUAAUCAAGGCGAAACAUCAAGGGGUUCCCAUUAUCACCCAAACGCGUAAGGAACGCACAAAUCCGGGAACAUAACACCGAUAUGACGGAAACUAGGGCGGCAAGAGUGGAACAAAACACUAGGCGAGAGGCCGAGCCUUCCACCCUUUACCAAGUAUAUAGAUGCAUUAAGAUAAUAUAGCAAUAUAAUGAUAUCCCAACAAGUAAAUAAAUGUUCCAACAAGGAAUGGCCUUCAAUCUUCACCUGCAACUAGCAACGCUAUAAGAGGGGCUGAGCAAAGUGGUAACAUAGCCAAUCAACGGUUUGCUAGGACAAGGUGGGUUAGAGGUUUGACAUGGCAAUUUGGGAUGCUUGAAACAAAGUGGUAGGCAUCGUAGCAUUGGCAUAGCAAAAGAGCGAGCAAUCUAGCAUAGCAAAGAUAGUAGUGAUUUCGAGGGUAUGAUCAUCUUGCCUGCAAAGUUGUCAGAGUUGAUUGGAUCCUCGAAAGCAAACUCAACGGGCUCCUCGUUAGAGAACUCGUCUCCCGGCUCUACCCAAACAAGACAAACAAACAACAAGGGCAAAAUCAACCACGUGCAAGGAUCAAACAAUAUGAUCCAAUGAUGAUAUGCUAUGCGGGAUGCGAUGCGGGAUGCAAAAUGCAAGAUAUGACAGGAAAUGCAAGAACCUGGCCUCAACUUGGAAAUCCAAGUGUUCCACUAGAAAGAAGAGAUGAAAUCGCUUGAAAACAAUAUAAAGAACACCGGAUUCGGAGUUACGGUUUGGAAAUGGCAAGCGAUUCAAAUACGACACCGGUCUGCGAUUUACAGCAAGUAGCCAUCUAAAAGCAAUGAGAUGAACAUGCUACAACACCCAAACAUGACAACAAAAUAUAUGGCAGGGAUGCAUUCAAGAUACUUAACAAAAGUCUAGCACUGAGCUACGACCAAUUCAUCCAUUAACAGGUUCAAACAAGCAUGUCAAAAAUGCAUAUGGUAAACAGAUCUCAGACUUAUUGAAAUUAACACUUGUUUGGAAUUUCAGAUCAGGUAGCACUCUUCGGAGCAACAAAACUACAUGCUACAGGACCUGAACAUGGCAAAGUAAAGCAUGGCAUGGAGCUACUCAAAGAGCUUAACAAAAGUCCCUUAGUGACCUUGAGCCAAAAGGGAUCAGAAAAUACAAUUGCAAGCAUGUGAACAUAGCAAAAACAUAAUCAGUUUUCAGACUUAGCGAAAGCUGGCACAUGCUGAAACAUAACUCAAGUAGGCAUGUUUACGAACUCGAUGCACUCACUACGGUGCAAGUCAUGACAAUCUAAGCAUACAUCCAUCAAGAUCACACAAAAUUCAAGCUAGACAUGGAAAGAACAACAACAUAGCAUGCACGGAUCAACUACAACAUCAUCAACAAAAUUGCAAACAAGUUGACAAUCUGCCCAGAUUCACAAAGUAGCAAAAGUAGAGCUCGAUUGACUCAAGCUAGGAUGCUCCAUAAAUUCAAACAAAGACAUGGAUGGAUAGAGCACUACAAGAUUAAUAAAACUCCCUUACUGAUCAUCCUCAAAAGAGGCAUGGAUCACCAGGAAACAACAUGAACAUAUGGCAUCAUGAGAUAAACAGAUCAAGGACUUAGUGGAAAUGCUAAGUCCCUGAAAACAGAAUUACCAAGUGCACCACUUUGCAAGCUUGCACUAGUCACCACACACAUCACAAAACUACAUGGGUUGCACCUAUGGAAAGAUGACAAAACCUUUAACAAAACAUAUGUAGAACAUCAGGGCAUAUCAUGCACACAAUAAUCAUGGCAAAAAUGACAAAAACCUAAAUGGAGUAGCAGAUCUGACAAUUAUAUCAAGUAGCCCUCUUCUAACAGCAUUUCGGGCAUCAAGAUGAACUCAAAUGAAAAUGAUGCAAUGGAAUGAAAUGAUGUACUCUCUGAGAUGAACAUUUUGAUACGCUAUAUGCAUGAAUCGGAGCUACGGAUGCAAAGUUACGAGGAUAUGAACAUGGGCACUUGAAACUGGAAUUUCGGGACUUAGAAGAAUAAAAACACCUCCGGAUCUAGGGUUUGACCCAGCACGCGAACCGAGGCGGAAUCCGGUGAGGUACUAUUCACCGGAGAGCUCGUGGCGGCCGGAGCUUGUCAGGGCUUGCCGGAGACGAGGGAGAGGAGGAGGACAGCGUGGACGGCGGCGGCGUGGCAAGGGCGGCGCGGCCGCGGGCGAUGGCGGCNNNNNNNNNNNNNNNNNNNNNNNNNNNNNNNNNNNNNNNNNNNNNNNNNNNNNNNNNNNNNNNNNNNNNNNNNNNNNNNNNNNNNNNNNNNNNNNNNNNNNNNNNNNNNNNNNNNNNNNNNNNNNNNNNNNNNNNNNNNNNNNNNNNNNNNNNNNNNNNNNNNNNNNNNNNNNNNNNNNNNNNNNNNNNNNNNNNNNNNNNNNNNNNNNNNNNNNNNNNNNNNNNNNNNNNNNNNNNNNNNNNNNNNNNNNNNNNNNNNNNNNNNNNNNNNNNNNNNNNNNNNNNNNNNNNNNNNNNNNNNNNNNNNNNNNNNNNNNNNNNNNNNNNNNNNNNNNNNNNNNNNNNNNNNNNNNNNNNNNNNNNNNNNNNNNNNNNNNNNNNNNNNNNNNNNNNNNNNNNNNNNNNNNNNNNGCGCUGCCACAUGGCGGCUCCCGGUUGGGGCGGCGGCGACGUUCGGCCCGGACGGACGUGUCCGGCCGGCGCGGGGACGAUCUCUAGGGUUUUGGACGAGGGGGAUCCGAGAUUUUCGAGGAGGACCUAUUUAUAGGCAUAGAGGGAGCUAGGAGAGUCCAAAUGAGGUGCGGUUUUCGGCCACGCGAUCGUGAUCGAACGCUCUAGAUGAUGGAGCAGAGUUAGGUGGGUUUUGGGCCAAAUUGGAGGGGUGUUGGGCUGCAACACACACGAGGCCUUUUCGGUCCCUCGGUUAACCGUUGGAGUAUCAAUCGAAGUCCAAAUGAUACGAAACUUGACAGGCGGUCUACCGGUAGUAAACCAAGGCCGCUUGGCAAGUCUUGGUCCAAUCCAGAAAUGUUUAAUCCCCACACACGAAAGAAAGCUAGAAAUGACCACCGGAGGAGAACGAAGCGCCAGAAUGCAAAACGGACAACGGGGAAAAUGCUCGAAUGCAUGAGACGAACAUGUAUGCAAAUGCAAUGCACAUGAUGACAUGAUAUGAGAUGCAUGACAACGACAACAACACACGGAGACAAAGACCCAAACCCGAGAAAAUAAAAUAACUUAACGCCAGAAACGGCAAGAGUUGGAGUACAAAUUGGGAAAGUUACAUCCGGGGUGUUACAGGUAGUCCUGGGUGGCCCCGUGUCUACCAAAGACACCAACGGCCACCAUCGUGGCCAAACAUAAACGUCCCACAUGGGGACCUGAGCUCAAAACCAAACCAGGGCACACAAGGCUUAUGUCCGCCUACCUGAUCAGGGUAGCGCGCGCCCAUUACCUUCCCUCUUUGGAGGCACCGGCGAGAGGCACGACAAUAGAUCGCAUUAAGGCCUUCCCAUAAAGGCAAAAUGUGGCUGCACUGAAGAAGUUCGGUUUGGUAGCACUAUGACCCGAUCCCAUCAAUGACGGAGGAGGUUUGUUAUUAUUAAGUCAUUUUAUCACCUUCUCCACCAUCAUGAACAUGGAUGCAAAAAUCAACAUGCAUCAUAUGAAUGCUUUACUAAAAUACCGAACUUCUCAGGUGAACAACUAUAAGAACAUGACAAUACCAAGUACUAGCAUAUCAACGGUGCAAUACAAUUAUCAUAGCAAUCAUAAUAGCCACUAAGAAUCUAAAGGCACUUGUCACCUACAUAAUCAUCCAAAUAUAAGCCCUAGAACUCCAAGAAAUAUCGAUAAUAACAUUCUAAUUAGCAUGGCAAAAGAUAUCAUGAAAACAUAAGCAUGCAUGAUAAUCAUAACAGAAUAACUACAAACGAAAACAGUAAGGAGAAAUUUUAACUACACACACACACACGAGGUGCAAGCAAAGUCAACAUGCAAGUUCAGGGCUCAUCAUAAGAGGUUGGCUUGCCUGGGGUUCAUAAAUACUCCGAGAAGAAGUGUGAAACGAUCGCGGAAAGAUUUGCCAGAGAACGGUUCCCUCUAAAAGGGGCUGAAUUAGAGCAAGGGCAAAAUGAGCAUUUUUAGAAUGUGCAAACAUCAAGAAAAUAGUCCCAUUAAAAAGAGCUCGAUGAACAGAGAACGUGAGCGCUGGAAUCACCUCAUUUGGAGUUACGGGUAAAAUGAUACGGACGUUUAAAACUCAGGGACUAGUCUGCAAAAAUACUUCUACAAACAGGUCCCUGGUAGUUUAAACAGAAUGUGUCUUUUCUGAGAAUACGUUUUCUAGAGAGGAAAACGUAUUUCCGGCCGAAGAAGAGAAAGAAUAAGCUUUCGGUGAUUGAAAGCGCAUUUUCCAGGAAUACGCUUUUGCCUGGGGAAAGCGGCUUCGCGGCUGGGGCGCCGCCACUUAUCUGACAUGGCACUGGGCCAGGCCCUUCGGUCGCCGACCGGUGGGGUCACGCAGGAAGGGCCCGCCUGGCCUGGCUUCUUCCUCCUCCUGCUCGGGAUCGAGCGAGGCAGAGGGAGGGAUCCGCCCUGACGGCGAUCACCGGCGAUUCCGGCCACCGCACACGACAGGCGACCUACCCAGAUGCUCAGGGAGGAGAGACACAUCUCGGGGUGGUAGCCGCUGCCGCCGACGAGCAUUGUAAUAGAAGCAGCGAGGCACACAGUGGAGAGGGGCUUUGGGCUCGGGUGGACACGGUGCUCCGGUGAGGGAAAUGGAGGGCGGCGGUUCGGGAAGGGUCGCCGGAGAGUGGCACGUCCCAUGGAGGGCUUGGACGGGGCAGGGGACGGCCGGAAAUGGCCGAGGGGACGGCGGCGAUGGCUCGGCCAUUGGAGGGGAUGUGGAGCUCCGAGGCAAGGGGGAGAGCUGCGAGUGGUUGGGGAGGGUUGUGGACUGUGAGGGGGCUCGUGAGGGUUACUUAUAGCCGCGGGGAGAGCUCGGGAAGGAGGGGGAGGAGGUGGCACAUGGCGGGCGACGUGUCCGCGCGUCGGUGACGACGCAGUGUCGGCAAGUGCGGCCAAGGCGCACAGGAAGCGGCAGGAAGGCGGCGAGGAGGGAGACGAUGCACAGGAGAACAUUGUUUCCGUCGUUGGCANNNNNNNNNNNNNNNNNNNNNNNNNNNNNNNNNNNNNNNNNNNNNNNNNNNNNNNNNNNNNNNNNNNNNNNNNNNNNNNNNNNNNNNNNNNNNNNNNNNNNNNNNNNNNNNNNNNNNNNNNNNNNNNNNNNNNNNNNNNNNNNNNNNNNNNNNNNNNNNNNNNNNNNNNNNNNNNNNNNNNNNNNNNNNNNNNNNNNNNNNNNNNNNNNNNNNNNNNNNNNNNNNNNNNNNNNNNNNNNNNNNNNNNNNNNNNNNNNNNNNNNNNNNNNNNNNNNNNNNNNNGGAGAAGAAAACAGAGGGGGAGAGCGGUCCAGGGGGGAGGUAAUGGCGAGGGGGGGGGGGGUUGUAGGACAUUAAUGGCGAGGCCAGAGCCGGUCAGAGCAGCGCUGCCGACGAGAACAGUGGCUAGACCACCGUUUUGGGCUGGUUACACUCGUGGUCACCACGGACAAGGCGCGCUCCGGGUUUUUUACUGAUGCCAGCUCAUGUCUACUGCAUUGUACAUCCAAAGUAGAGAACUACUGCGGUAAAGAUACUAGGAAUGACACAGGGAGGAGUAAACCAAGCUCCACAAGUUUACUGAUGCAAACUUGGCCACACUUUGGAGAGUAAAUUUAUUGUCUAAUAGGCUUAGGGUAGGAAGGACUACGGUCCUGGGAAUUAUGAAGUCAUUUGGUCAACUAUUUAGCAUAGUUGCUGUACAAAUGCCAAAUCUGGUCUAGAAACUAAAUGAGCUAGAAGCACUCACUAGGAGUGAUGGAUUGGGUGAAAACUUGUCAAAGCCUGAUGAUUUGAUCAUAGGUAGAUGCUGCAAAAACAUCAUACCAAAUGGACUUUCCAAAAUGGUACUGGUUUCACAAACAUCUCCUCUGUCCUAAAACUUGAGAAAAAUCCUCAGGGCAAAUGGCUAACUGAAAUGAUCCAAAGUUUUUUGGAGAUGGAUCAUAUGUAUAGGAGAAGGUCUGGAAAAAGUUUUAGCCAUAAUGGAGCAAGAUAAAAUAUACUUGCUUCACAAACUAAAAAAUUGGACAGAAACCAAGAAUUGCUCCUGUGCUCACAUAGUUCAAUGAAAUGAACUGAAUUUAGGUGAAGGCUAAUGAUUUGAGAUACUUGAGAGGAUGGAAACGUUUCAUCCCAUUUGGAAACUCUGUGAAGGUACUUCCUUCACAAAGUUGUGUUCUAGUCAAAAACUUUGAAAAAAAUUGCACACGGAGCUAGGAUGAAUGGAUUGAGCUCAUAUUUGUCAUCCAUGGGUUAUUUAACCAUGUUAAUCACCCUGCCAAAUUGCAGCUCCAUUGGAAUUAGGAACAAAGCACUUCCUUUGCAAAAUUUCAAAGAAGGCAGAAAUUUGCAUUGGAUCAUGUGCCCAAUUUUGAACUGUAAAAUCCUAAGAUUAGGAUGGAACUAGUUAAUAUAUAGCAAGGACAAGCUCCACAAUUUAUGUAGAAAUUUUCUCUGCUAUAAAAAUAGUAGUUCCUUUGGAAAAUGGCAGAAAUGCAAUAUUGGCAUUAAAUAGGAAAAGGAAAUUUUCCUUGUUUAAUUAUGGCCAAUAUAUUUGCCAGAGCUUGGAUUAGGAAUAAGUAUCAAGUCCACCAAUUCUCAUGAAUUUCGGAGAUGGCUAACUAUGCCUUUGGAUAUUCCUCAGAAAGACAAGAAAAGGAAUAAACCACAAUUCAAAAAUAUUGCAUGAGACUUAGCAAUAUUUUUGCACAUCCAAGGUUCAGAAAGAUAGGAAGAUCUCUAGAAACAAUUGGGAGGAUCAACACAUCAAGGAAAAUGAUGGCUCCUUUGUAAGCACAAAGGACAUAUCCAAAUUCCAAAAAAUUGGAAUUAGGGUUUGAGAGAGUUUGAGAUGAUGCAAAUGAGGUCUUGCCCACUGACAAAGACAUGAGCAAGGUAUUGAAAGGUUGAAAAUCACAAGAACUGUCAGAGUCAUCCAGCAAACUCAGGGGAAUUUUUUUUGAAGAAUGAGUGCCAGGAAGGAAUAACGACACAAAAAUUGAUAACCCAAUUUUGGGGUUGUUACAAUGAAUUCAACGGGGACGCAAUUUAUGGAAUGGAGGCUAUGUAAUCAUAUGAGGUAACACUUUUAAGUAGCGGACUACAAUAUCCAUUUCUUUUGUGGGACUACAAUAUCCAUUUAUUUUUGUGCGCCUCUACACUAACACGUCAAUGCAUUAUGUUUAAAAAAUAAUCAAUGGCACUAAAUUAUCUGUUUACACGAGAAAUACAUAGGCUGAGCAUUUGAUCCAAUUUUUUGUGAACGCUCCUCUACACCCGUAUGAUUGGUCGCGCCCUCGUGAACAUCCAAGUUAUCUGCGCAUCAUCCCAAGUUAUUGUCUUUUUUUCUAGGUGGAGUUCACACCAGUUAUUAACUGCUGACGCGUGCCCCGUCUACACAGUCUUGCAUGAGCUUCCCGCUAGCACGGUCCAAAAUUAGUUGAAACUGGAUACGAACGAUCCCGCGGGCAGCAAAAUCUCCCAUCUCCUUCUAAAAUUUCCGCCACCUAGUCUUUAGCAUGUGAAAUUCCCCUUUUGUCCUUGGUGCACGGAGAACAACAGUAACAAUACCACCCUCAUCUACAUAAUACGUCGGGGCUGCUUUGGUAACUUCCGGUUCCCCCCACCACACGACACCCCCAUUUCCUCUCCCCCUCCCGCAAAAAUGACUAACUCCAUAGCACCAGAGCAUCUUACAUCACGUCGUCCGUACUUCCUAGGCCUUUCUUCCCCUCCCCUCUUGAAACCCUAGACUGCCCAUCCGCCAGUGUACCAGAGCCCAUUCAUUGCCAGCGGCGUCCACCUCGCUGGAUCUGCUUCUGCGGCCACAUCUACACCUCACGCCUCAACUAGAAACAAGUAGACUGUUCAUCCACCACUAUACCACAACCCAUUCAGUGUCGGCCUUGUCCACGGCGCCGGAUCUGCUUCGCCGGUACUCUCGUCAACUGUAGCGCAUCUGCAGCGGCUCAUUCGUACUCUCCACUGGAGACGCUUCGUCCACACCCCCCGCAGCUGCCCCACCGACGCCCCCGUCGACGGCCUCUGAUCCUCUUCGCCGACACCUUCCUCAACCCUACCGACGCCGCUUCGCCGACACCAUCGUCAACCCUACCGGAGUAGCUUCGCCUAUACCAUUCUAGAUCCUACUGGGGCCGCUUUGCCAACUCACAAGUCCACGGCCACAGAUCCUCUUUGUCGCACCCUCAUCCAACCUACCGGAGAAACUUCUAACGCCCCAUCCACGGCCACAGAUCCGCAUCGUCGACACCAUCCUUAACCAAACCACCAGAGCAGCUUCACCGACGCCCUCAUCCACGACCACAGAUCCGCUUCGCCCACACCGUAGUCUACCCUAGCAGAGCCACUCUAGAAACACCCUACUCGAUGGUUCUAGAUCUCCUUACUGGACCCUGACAGCCAGCACAAUGUCAUCACCCUUGACGUUUCUAACAUGAUUCCCACCGUCUGGCAAGAUGCCAAGCACCCGCCACGGCCUAGGUACUUCACCUUUAAACCCGUCCAGCAUCACCUACCCGAUGUACUUCAAAUAUACUAACAUGUCGCUAUUACCUGUUAUGCAGUUGGCAAAAACUACAAGGAUGAUGUUUCUUCUGGAUCUAACAGCUUGGCCAACCAAGAUCCUGGACUGAGGCAUUGCUAUGAUCUUGUAAGUGCGUCUCUCUCUCUCUUGUAUUGUUGUGUGCUUGCCAGCGUGCUUUGCUAGGAUUUUCGACCAGUAAUCCCUUUGUGCAGACAAUGAUUUCUACUACUGCCUGCUAAAUUAGAUAUGUAGAGGUCAUACAUGAUACUACCUCGUACCUCCGUUCCUAAAUAUAAGACAUUCUAGAAUUCCACUAUAGGCUACAUACGGAGCAAAAUGAGUGAAUCUACACUCGAAAAUGCAUCUAUAUACAUCUGUAUGUGGUCCAUACUAGAAUCUCUACAAAGACGUAUAUUUAGGAAUCGAGGUAGUACAUUACACAAAAUCGUAGGUGGCAUGUAGGAAUUCCAGUGCACUACAUUAGGCUCCCUUAGAGUGCCUACUAGUCCAGCACACAUAGUCAUGGCUAGUUUAUGCUACGCACACAAUUGUUAAUUGGUUGUUUAAAUAUGCGCAAGGGAUAUGCAAUGUAUUAUCAUGUAGAGAUGUCUGAAAUUAGCCGUGUCAACUUGCAGAUAGUGUUACACAAUGAAAAAGUACAAGAUUUAUGUGGCAAUUUCAUGGAAUAUCGGAAAAAAAGGAGAGGCAGCGGCGAGCCUAUACAGUGUGAUAUGGUAGGUCACUCCUCCAUUGCAAUCAUCGUGACAUGUUAUUUGUAUGUCAGUUCUAUUGGCCAUGUUUCCUAGGGACAAUUAUUACGAGUUAUCCUAAGAAAAUAAGCACAUGUGAAUAUAAGCUCCAGGUAAUAAGCCAACCAUUUCUUUUCAUUGCCUUCCUUUUCAUCUUAUCUUUGGUAAGAUCAGCGAAAAGUCUAGACUGCAUUAUAUUUUGUCAUUUUUCUUGUCGGUGUACAAAAGUAGGGGCUCUCCUUUUUGACCCCUUUACUUGUGCACAGGCAGUCAGAGCCACGCGCCGCAGCCACACUAAGCGGGGCAGAGGAGGGAAGCCAGAUAGAAGCCGAAGCACAAGACAACCAAGGUGACGCCAAGACCAGAAGCGCAGGAGGGCAAGAGGGCAAGGUGGGCUCCCUCGGCAAGGUCCUUGCCGAGGCGGCCCCCACAGCCCUAGCAAGAGCCUUGCCGGGGCAACUUGCCCGAUGCCAGCAGAGCAAGCCACCCUUGAGCCCAAAGGUUCCGAAGGUCGUCAACAACUACAUUGAGACCAGGGCUCGGGAGGCGCCUCUGUGGUGCCAUGCAAAUCUUAGUCAAGAUCAUAAACACAUGAUCGGAUGAGGAUUAGAAGACGACGAACCUUGGCGGGAUCCUAGCCGAGGAAAUCCACAAGACCCCCGGCAAGAACCUUGCCGGGGAUGACAGGAGCGCCGCGACAAGACCCUUGCCGAGGGCAUCAGCAGGGCCACUACCAGACCCGCACCAGCCAAGACUCCGCCGCCGUUCGCAUGCAGCUGCCAGCCCAACCUGCUGGGAAGGCACCUAUGUGGCAGCAUGCAACUUCCAGGCCAAAUCAGCAAGCACCUGUGUGGCGGCAUGCAGAUCUUCAUGAAGGCCCUACCACCACGCUAGCUCAGCUGCCUACCUGCCUACAUGGCGCUCCAUGCAUCGCUGGUUUGGGCGCAUGUCGAAGCGAGGGGAAGUGGUGACGGACGGGACGGGCCUCGUUCCCGUCCCCGAUAAAGCUAAUGGACACCUACGUAGUGCAUUUAAUGCACUUUGUCCUGUAAUGCCAUGCGAUAAGCUCGCGCACUGUAGGCCUUUCCACCUGUUGUGUGCCACUGUGGCAGCCCCUUUUCCUAUAAAAGGAGGCCCGAGCCGACCAGGAUAGGGAUUCGACUUUUUGGGAUGGCACAACCACCGCAGCUAGUUCAAAAAGCUCAAGAACACUCAAUACAUCCACGAAAGUAGGACUAGAGUUUUACGCAUCCUCGCGGCCCGAACCUGGGUAAACAACCCGUGUUCUAGCUCCUAAACCUGCUCUUCUCACGACCCCGCGCCCGCCGACCGUAGAAUGGAUCCCAGUGAUCCCAUAGGUGUCGUUCUCACCGACAUCUUGGCGCACCAGGUAGGGGCGUGGCAGUUGUGAGAAUCUGUUCUAGCAGUUAGCCUAGCAGUUCUUCGUCGCCAUGGCUCCCAAGAAGAAGGCGGCCACGGUGGUUAGUUCGUCGGGAUCCGGACAACCCGUACCAGUGCGGGUGAGCAGCGGGCCGGUCGCAGACAGAACCCAAGGCGCGACCAGCGAGCACCAACAUCGCUCUAGCAGUCAGAGCCUAGAGAGCGGCGUCGUUCGUGCGUAAGGCAAUGGGACACACGCCGCAAAAUCUAGAGACGGAGCUGGCCCCCCCGCAGACGACACAAGACCCUCCGGGGGCGUCGCCGUACCACUCACGGGCGGCGUGGCGACCUCCAAGACGCCCACUCCGGCGCCCACAACACGCUCUUCCCAGGUUGUGUGCGACGAGCAGCGUCACCUCACCGGUCACCCCUAGACGCCGCCGUGGGAAGAGUCCUGUGCGUCAUCCGCUGGACGAAGGAGGCUAGCAUGCCCACCGAAGUGCUGGCGAGGACGGCGCACAACCGCUGGGCCGUGACAGAGCUCCUUCUAACGUGGUUAGAAGUCGAAGCGCGCCAGAGUCCAUGCAGCUUUCGCCGCCACCCACGCCAGCAGAAGCCUUGGCGCGCGCGCAGCUGCUCCUCGACUUCCCUCCUGCCGCGGAGAAGCUCGACGAGUGAAGAGCAACUAUCUGAAGCCUCGUCGGCAUCACCAACAAAGACGAUCCACGGCCAGCGGGGCCCUCAUGCCGGCGCUCCAUCGAGCCACUGCAUGCUAGCGGUGGAGGGGCCGGAGGCGUUGCAGCCACGGUGCACUCUCCUCCUCCAAGCCAACCACUACGGAUGUCGGUCCAUCGUGAUGAUGCUUGUUAUGACAUUUUCAUAGUGUCGUCCGACCCACAGACCCGCCGAGACCAACGCCAGGUUCUUCGAGAGCGAGCCCAUGAAGACGCUCGAACCACCAUCGAGCGUCGGCGCGAUACAUGCCACCAGUCAGACAGGCGGGAAGGGCCCGCUAUGGACCACCCAUCACCGGGAGGCUCCGGCAGCCUACCUGACGAGGUGGGUUUCCCAGCCUUUACCCGCGGGCUGCGGCAGUUCCAGUUUGCCGUCCCACCACACGUUCAAGCCUGACAUCGGUGAGAUGUACGACAGGAAGACCCACCCAUCAGAGUUCCUCAUCAUCCACACCAUCGCAAUGCAAGCCGGUGGAGCUCGUGACAACAAGGUGCUUGCCAAUUACUUCCCGUUGGCCCUAAAACCCAAUGUCAUGUCUUGGUUGAUGCACUUACUGAAGGAUUCCAUUUCUUAUUGGUCAGAUCUGUGCCACGAGUUCAUUGGUGCCUUCACUGGAGGCCACCAAGCUCAUGGCCAGGCGAGUGAUUUGCAUAUCAUUCCCUAGAAGGAAGGUGAAAACCUGUGCAAGUACAUACAGAGGUUCAGCCGAGUGCAAUACAACAUCCUAGAUGUUCAUCCUGCCGCCGUGAUCAGCGCAUUCCAUCAGAAUGUGCGUAACCGCAAGAUCUGUGAAGAGCUGGCAAUGAACAAGGUCAAGGACGUGGCCGAACAUUACGUUCUGGCCGAUAGAUGCGCCCGGGCUGAAGAGGGAAGGAAGUACCCCGGCGAAGACGCUGGUGCGAAAACCGACUCUACUGACAAAGACACCACCGCCCCGAUGAAGAAGGGCCGGCGUCGCAACAGGAAACACAAGGACAAGACUAUGCUUGCCAUCGAGGGAUCCGGUGACACCAGCGUCGCCAAGAACGCCAAUGCAGACGACCCCGACAAGGAGAUUGCCGGGUGCGCCGCUUGUCGGGCCUUGGCGGCUGCUCACAAGCCAGGUGGCUCCGACAAGCAGUACUGCAAGAUCCACUGCACCAAGGGCCACGACCUCCCGAACUGCCGACAAGUUGAGCUUCUUGCUGAAAAGAAAAAAGCCAAAUAUGAGAGGCGGGACAAGGAGAAGGGUUGGGAUGGUGCCGAAGGAUCUGGCAAGAAGCAUGGCGGCCAGGGAUGUCGCCGCGGCAAGGAUAACCAGCAAGAGAGGCCCGCUCGGGGCCGCAACAAGAAGCAGGGAGACGAUGAUCAUGACGAGGAUGAUGAGUCCGGUGAGCACGAGUUCCAAAAGGCUAUGGAGGCCAUGUGCGUCAAUGGUGGCGCCUCGCUGCACACUUCUCACCGCCAGCUCAAGCAGUGUGCGUGAGAGAUUACAGUAGCAGAGCCAUCGUUCGACGCUCAGAAGCCAGUGAAGUGGUCUAGCACGCCCCUCAUCUUUCACGCCGAGGACCACCCUGACUACACAACUGCGGUCAGGUGUUUGCCGUUGUUGGUGUCACCAACGAUACGCAACCUCAAGGUGACCAAGAUGCUGGUUGACGGCAGGGCCGGCCUAAACUUGAUCUCGCCUGUCAUGGUCAAAAGGCUGCAAAUUCUUGAUGGAGACCUUGAGGAAAUGGGUACGUUUCAAGGGUCAGUCUGGGAAGGAGCCAGUCGAAGGGGAAGGUCACAUUGCCCGUGACAUUUGGAGGUGAGUUGAACUACAGGACGGAGAGGAUCGUCUUCGAUCUGGUUGAGAUCCCCUUGCCCUACAACGGGAUCCUCGGUCUCCCAGCACUAGCCAAGUUCAUGGCGGCGUCGCACUACGCCUACAAUACACUGAAGAUGCCUGGGCCGAUGACCAUCAUCACCGUCCCCUCCGACAAGAAGGAUGAGCUGAUCUACACUGGCCAACUCUAUCGAGAAGCAGUUGUAGCAGAUGCUGCCAAGGCACUUGCUCCUGCCGUUGAGGCCCCGGGAGGGAAGAAGAAGACCGGAAAGACCUCUUGCACCCACUCCGGUAAGCGCACCUCUUCGGAGGGUUGUGCUACCAUCGAGGACGUGCCCGAGAGCUCUACCGGCAAGAGCAAGAAAUCCAGAGCUGCACCACCAGAGACCAGGAGGGUGUCCGUCAAGGAGGAUGGCACGGGAGGGGCUUUCACCAUAUGUUCCACCCUCGACAACAAAUAGGAAAGCACGCUCGUCGCUUUCCUAUGGGAGAAUGUCGAUGUGUUUGCGUGUCAAGCAUCUGACAUCCCUGGCGAUCCUAGGGAAGUGAUUGAGAACCACCUUGCUGUCUGUCCCCAUGCGCAACCCGUCAAGAAGAAGGUCAAGAAGCAAGCUUUGGAAUGAUAGGAGUUGAUCACAGAGGAGAUUAGGAAAUUGGAAGCGGCAGGUUUGGUGAGAGGAGUGCUCCAUCCUAUGUGGUUGGCCAAUCCCGUGGUGGUGCACAUGGCAAAUGGGAAGUGGAGGCUGUGUAUUGACUACACAAAUGUCAAUAAGGCUUGUCCUAAGGACCCCUCCCAGAUUGUUGACUCCACGGCCAGGUGUGAUCUGUUGUCAUUCCUCUUUGCCUACUCGGGCUACCACCAGAUCUUCAUGGCAAGAGAAGAUGAAGAGAAGACAACCAUUAUCACCCCAUGUGGUACAUAUUGCUUUUUACGGAUGCCUUUCGGGUUGAAGAGUGUUGGCUCGAUGUUUGCAAGGGCGGUCCAGAUUGGUUUUCAGCCCCAGCUACAUAGAAAUAUGGAAGCUUAUAAGGAUGACAUAGUGGUCAAAACCAAGGACAAGGCAACCCUUGUACAAGACCUAGAAGAGACGUUUGCCAACCUAUGCAAGAUCAACCUCAAGCUAAACCCUAAGAAGUGUGUCUUUGGCGUCUCGUCAGGAAAACUUCUCGGGUUGUUUGUGUCGCAGCAUGGGAUUGAGGCAAACCCAGACAAGAUCAAGGCUAUUGAGCCGAUUGAGACACCCAAGAGGAUCAAGGAUGUGUGUUGGCUCACUGGCUGCGUUGCCGUCAAGAGCAGGUUCAUCUCCAAGUCCGUUGAGCGUGCCCUUCCCUUUUUCAAAAUCUUGAAGAAGGUAGGCCCAAUGGAGUGGACCCCAGCUGAGGCGGCAUUGCAGGGUCUGAAGAAAUACCUUUCCUCUACGCCAAUACUGGUUGCGCCUAAACCACAAGAGCUGUUGCUGCUGUAUCUGGCGGCAAUGAAUCAAGAGGUCAGCGCUGCACUAAUGGCGUAGAGGGAGGUCGACGAAGAGGCAGUGGCCGCAGCAGGACCGGCGAAUGGCAAGUCAAAGAUUCCUCCGGCAGGGCCUGGUGGCGGUAAGGCAGGCCCCCCGGCAGACUCUGACGCCAUCAGGGCAGGGCCCGCGCGGCCAAGUGAAGUGGUGCAGAAGAAGAAGAUGAUGCAGCACCCGGUUUACUUUGUCAGCUCCCUCUUGCAGGGGGCCAGGUCAAGGUACUCCGGUGUGCAGAAAUUUCUCUUCGGUCUCCUUAUGGCCUCGAGGAAGCUACAUCAUUACUUCCAAGCCCAUGAGAUCACUGUCGUCACCUGCCUCCCGUUGCAAUGGAUACUACACAACCCAGAUGCAACCAGAAGGAUUAUGGAGUGGGCCUUGGAGUUGUCAAGCUUUGGGUUGAAGUUUGAAAGCACUUCGACAAUCCAGAGAAGAGUCUUGGCGGACUUCAUUGCAAAAUGGACCUCAACGCCCGAUGAGGAAAUCCAGGAGACCGCUCUCCCCGACAAGGAAGAAAGUCGCCACUGGAUCAUGUACUUUGACGAGGUUUCUCGCUGCAAGGUGCCGGUGCCGCUGUGCUGCUUGUCGCACCCACCGGAGAGCACCUCAAGUAUGUGAUCCAAAUGCACUUUCCUAGGGAGAUGUCCACAAACAACACUGCUGAGUACGAGGGGCUGCUUGCCGGUCUUAGGAUCAUGGCAGACCUCGGGGUGAAGAAGCUCAUCGUCAGGAGUGAUUCGCAGCUUGUUGUCAGACAGGUCAACAAAGAUUACUUGAGUCCGUUGAUGGAGGCCUCCGUAGAUGAGGUGAGGAAGCUGGAGCAGCAGUUCGACGGUAUUGAAGCGGAGCAUGUUCCCCGAGCGGAGAACACCAUCGCUUACUACCCGUCAAAGCGCUCUGCAUUUAAGCUACCUGUGGAACCAAGUACCUUUUUGCUUCGGUUAACUCAACCAUCCUUCAAACCGUCAAUGGAGCAGAACAAGCAGAGGAAAUCGGGCACCGGCAAGUACCUUCCCGCCGAGCCCCAGGGGCCGCUGGCAAGGGUGUUGCCGUGGAUUCCGAGCCUGCCAAUGGGUAGCUCGCUCCUGCGGGGCGCCAAGUCCUGGCUGUAGAGACGGCUGCCCCCAUGGUGGAAGAGAUGCCUUUGGUUCUUGCCAUAGAGACUAGGCUCCGGCAUGGGCACAACAUACCGUCCGUUUCCUCCAGGCAGGGGAACUCCCCGAGGAUCAGGAAGAAGCGGAAAAUGUAGCCCGUCGAUCUGCCCUGUACCAGUUCAUCGAUGACGUCCUGUACAAAAAAAGACCGAACAGUGUGAAUGUGAAGUGCAUCCCCCAGGUGGAAGGACUGGAGCUAUUGGCAGAGAUACAUGGGGGCAUAUGUGGCUCCCACAUAGGGUCGAGGGCCCGUGCCAGUAGGGCAUUCCGGCAAGGCUUCUUCUGGCCCACCCCCUCCAGGAUGCGACAGCACUAGUAACUAGGUGUGAAGCAUGCUAGUUCCAUUCAAAGAAGCUUCAUCAGCUAUCUCAAGCCCUUCAAACAAUCCCUCUCUCCUGGCCGUUUUUGGUCUGAGGGCUUUACAUAGUGGGCCCUUUCCCCCGCGCUGUCGGGGGCUUUGAGUACUCGUACGUUGCAAUCGACAAGUUCACAAAGUGGCCGGAGGUGGAAGUAGUGAGGAAGGUGACUGCACAGUCAGCCGUCAAGUUCUUCAAGGGACUAGUCUGCCGUUUUGGUGUGCCAAACAGAGUCAUCACCGACAACGGCUGAGGGAGUCCUGGAUUAGGGGGUCUCUAGACAGCCAGACUAUAUCCUUUGGCCGGACUGUUGGACUAUGAAGAUACAAGAUUGAAGACUUCGUCUCGUGUCCGUAUGGGACUCUCCUUGGCGUGGAAGGCAAGCUUGGCAAUAAGGAUAUGUAGAUCUUCUCCCUUGUAACAAACUUUGUGUAACCCUAGCCCCUUCCGGUGUCUAUAUAAACCGGAGGGUUUAGUCCGUAGGACAACAGGCAAUCAUACCAUAGGCUAGCUUCUAGGGUUUAGCCUCUACGAUCUCGUGGUAGACCAACUCUUGUAAUACUCAUAUUAUCAAGAACAAUCAAGCAGGACGUAGGGUAUUACCUCCAUCAAGAGGGCCCAAACCUGGGUAAACAUCGUGUCCCCUACCUCCUGUUACCAUCUGCCUUAGACGCACAGUUCGUGACCCCCUACCCGAGAUCCGCCGGUUUUGACACCGAGAUUGGUGCUUUCAUUGAGAGUUCCACUGUGCCGUCACCGUAAGGCUUGAUGGCUCCUUCGAUCAUCGGUAAUGAUGCGGUCCAAGGCGAGGUUUUCCUCACCGGACAGAUCUUCAUAUUCUGCGGCUUCGCUCUGCGGGCCAACUCGCUUCGUCAUCUAGAGCAGAUCGAGAGCUACGCCCCUGGCCAUCAGGUCAGGUUUGGUAACUUAAACUACGUUGCCGACAUCCACUGAGACUUGAUCUUCGACGGAUUCGAGCCCAUGUCAGGUGCGCCGCACAAUCACGACGAGUAUGACGUAACUCUACCGUCGGACAUUGUUUGGGAGAUCGCAUCUGCAACUACUCCGGCCUUCAAUCCGGAGCAAAUUGCGCCAUCCGAGGGCGGAGGGAUAGACCCCGCCAUGGAGGCCACACUCUCAGUGGCGAUGGAGCCAGAUACUGACUUCACCCCUUACAAGAGCCGUGUUGCCGAACCACUAGGUUCGUCUCCGGCCACGGACUCUGAGCCGCCUGCAUCCAUGCCUAUCGAAUCCGAUUGGGCGCCGAUCAUGGAGUUCACCUCCGCAGAUAUCUUUUAGCACUCGCCUUUCGGCGAUGUGCUAAAUUCAUUAAGGUCUCUCUCCUUGCGAGGAGAACCCUGGUUGAACUAUGUCCGGCUAGAAUGGGAUGCAGACGAUGAAGAAAUUCACUGCCCACACACCACCCACUUAGUAGCCCCUGUCUAUGAUUUAACAGACAUGCUCGAUUUCGACUCUGAAGACAUCAACGACAUGGACGAAGAUGCAGGAGACGAACAGGAACCAGUGCCCACAGGGCGCCGGACAGCCACUUCAUCACAUGACAUAUACAUGGUGGACACACCCAAAGAAGGCUAUGGCGAAGAGAUAGCGGAGGAUGGCCCCUCCAAGAAGCAACCCAAGUGCCGACGUCAGCGACGCCGCUCUAAGUCCCGCCAUAGCAAAAACAACGAUAACCGCGCAAGAGAAAAUAACACUCCAGUCGACUCCAGAGGAAACGACGACCACAUUGCCCCAGCGGCAGAGCACGAUGAAGCUGCAAAUGACAAACAUAGUACGGAUCUGACGUCCGAACACGACGACGCCAAGGAUAAACCUCAUCAAACCCCCUCUGGGGAGGAAAACAGUCCGGACGAAGAUGCACACAUCAUCCCAGAAACGCACUUGGAGCAAGAGAACCUCCGCAGAAGGCUUAUUGCCACAGCGAGGAGUCUGAAGAAGCAGAAGCAAAGGCUUAAGGCCGCACAAAAUACGCUCAACAGCAGGUGGAACAAAGUGCUUGACAACCAAGAAAAGUAUGGUGGAAGUUACCACACAAAGAGCUAUCCAAAGCGCAAGCUAUUACCUGAAUUCGACGAUGAGGCCUUAGACCCCACACAACCGAAAAAUGUAACGGCCAACCGGCCGGAUCAACCACCUUGUGACCACGUUAGAGCGGCUAACAAGGUCGCACAUAAGUCUAACACACGAUCUACGUAAGGACUUGCGCCAAAAAUCCGGUACGACCAGAUCCAUCUAUGGAUCUAGGAAGCGCGCUCCGGCACAAAAUCCAAACCGAAUACUACAACCGUCCGGACGCCAUGGUACAUCCAAAUACAGGGGUGCCGCACACCCCCUAUGUUUCACAGAUGAGGUGUUGGACGACGAAUUCCCAGAAGGAUUCAAACCAGUGAACAUAGAGGCGUACGACGGGACCACAGACCCUGGGGUCUGGAUUGAGGACUUUAUCCUCCAUAUCCAUAUGGCUUGCGGAGACGAUCUCCAUGCCAUCAAAUACUUGCCCCUCAAGCUUAAAGGACUAGCUUGGCACUAGCUGAAAAGCCUCCCCGAAAACUCAAUUGGAAGUUGGGAGGAGCUCGAGGAUGUUUUUCGGGCUAAUUUUCAAGGGACCUAUGUAUGACCUCCGGAUGCAGACUAUUUAAGUCAUAUAAUUCAACAACCCGGAGAGUCCGCCCGAAAGCUUUGGAACAGGUUUCUCACUAAGAAGAACCAAAUCAUCGACUGUCAGGACACUAAAGCCUUAGCAGCUUUCAAACACAGCGUCCGAGAUGAAUGGCUCGCCAGACACCUUGGCCAAGAAAAACCGAGAACAAUGGCAGCCCUGACAAGCCUCAUGACCCGCUUUUGCGCGAGCGAAGAUAGCUGGUUAGCCCGCAGUAGCACCAGCGACCCAGGCACAUCCGAAAUCAGGGAUGGUAAUGGAAAACCACGAGCUAAUAAAAACAAGCAUCGAAAUAAAGAAGAUAUCCCAGAUAAUACGGCGGUAAACGCCAGAUUUAGGGCUCUCGACCAGGUCAGCGGAAAAAGCCUUUCAAAGGCAGAAGAGAUGGACCGUCUGGCCUAAACAGGAUUCUUGAAAAACUAUGUCAGAUUCAUGGCACCCCCGAUAAACCUACAAAUCACACCCACAUAGAAUGCUGGGUCUUCAAGCAGGCCGGUAAGCUAAACACCGAACACAAGGGGGGGAGACACCAAGCAAAGAUGAGGAUGAACCUCGCCAGCAAAGCACUGGAGGACAGAAAAAAUUCCCACCAGAGGAAAAAAAAGUAAACAUGAUCCAUGUGACGAAGAGGAGAAGCAAACAUGCACUCCGAGACACACGCGCCAUAGAGCCCAUCACCCCUAGGUCCAACCCCUGGUUGGCCUGCCCGAUCACUUUUGAUCACGGGGAUCACACGACAAGCAUCCGACACGAAGGAUUGGCUGCCUUGGUGUUAGACCUAGUAAUAAACGGAUACCAUCUCACACGAGUCCUCAAGGAUGGCGGCAGUAGUCUCAAUAUGAUAUAUCAGGACAUAGUCCGCAAAAUGGGGAUAGACCCGACAAAAAUAAGCCAAAGUAAUACUACCUUCAAGGGAGUAAUACCAGACCUAGAGGCCCGAUGUAUGGGCUCUCUAUUACUAGAGGUUGUAUUCGGUUCUCCCGACAACUUCCGAAGCAAAAACUUAACUUUCUACAUCGCUCCAUUCUGAAGUGGCUAUCAAGCACUACACGGAAGAGCGGCUUUCGCUCGUUUUAAUGCAAUACCACAUUAUGCUUCUCUCAAGCUUAAGAUGCCUGGUCCACGUGGCACAAUCACAGUUAGUGGAAAUACUGAGUGUUCUCUACGCGCGGAAGAAUGUGCGGCGGCUUGAACAGCCGAGCACUAGAUGGCCUCACCAACUAGAAAAAAUGACAGGUUGUCAAGACCACGGACACGGUUAGAUGAGUCCAGUGCACCACUACAUAUACAUGAGAUUGGUUUGAUGGUCAAACCCUCAUAGACAUUACCAGGGGCUUCCCGCGUAUAAUCAGGGCUAGUCCGGCUUACACUUGACUUAUCUUGAAUUUUAAUGGUUUAUUGAUAAUAACCAAUUUUCUGGCACGACAACUUUCACCUAAGUUCUUCUCUUUUAUAGAUGAAAAUCGUGCUACACCCAUCCAGGACACGGCACAACGGAGACACAGGCGCAGACAUGCAGCAGGGACGCGCUCCAAGGUUUCUUUUCAGAUUAAGACCCUGCGUAAACCUUUUUUACUGUCUCUUGUUGUUCACAUCCUCCGGAUACUCAAUACAACCGAGAAGGAUGCUGACGUUAUUGGCAUGUGGCCACGUCAGGAUAUUGCACGUACCUGGACACUCGGGGUUUAUUAUUAAGGGCAUAAAGACCGAAUACCUUAGGGAGUGUUCGGUGUCACGAGUUUGGCCUUAUAUGCAUCAACUCUGAAUCAUGUCUUUGGUCAAAUGUUGGGUUUGCCCGGCUCCCAUGUUUUGGUACCUUACGUUCCGCUAUAUCGGCUAAGGUAGCACUGGGAGAACUACUGCGAUUUUCCCCUGGUUCAUCCGGAUGAGCACCUUAGUAGAGAAAGCCGAAAACUGACUGUCAUGGUAAAACACGAGACUGGUCAACCACUCGAUGACUUAGCGGAAUCUUCGGGAUUCCUCCGCAUUAACGAAGGACCGUUUCCCGGUCAUGUAUGUACGUGCCCCGUAUUCGGACGAGCGCAGAAGUACCAAGGGCUAUAUAGUAGCCCCACCGUCAAACUCCUAUGGCUAAGUGAAAGUGUUAAAGCAAUAUAGUCCGAUUGCCUCGUUCGCCGCGCUACCACCUCCUUCAUGGACUAGGACAUUGGAUCAAGUGUGAAUACGCGUUUUUUGCGAACACCCCCGCAUUAUAUGCGUGGGGGCGGAAGCCGACGACUGCAAAUUUUCAGGUCAUAUACAUAUAUACAUAAACAGCCGCACAAGAGGCAUCAUAAUACUUUCAGACAAAAGUAUAAACACAACCUUUAUAAUUCAAUAAAACAUUGUUUUUAAAAUGGGAGUACAUGUCACUAGAACAUAAUAUUAUUCGAGCACUGAGCCUCUAUCAAACGAGCACCUUCAAGGACUUCUUCAAAGUAGUGCUGGACAGCCACUCGACCCACGGAUGAACCCUGUGUUGCAAUAGCGGUGGCCUCCAUCUCUGCCCAGUAUGUCUUGACACAGGCAAGUGCCAUCCGUGCACCCUUUAUGCACGCCGGCCUCUUCAUAGCAUCGAUGUGCGGCACAUCACCAAGGAAUUGUUGCACUAAACUAAAG